rnacentral:lncRNA from 1 species
CCGUCUCCAUCGUAUCAUGCCCUCUCGCCAUUCCGUGCACCAUGUGGACCGCCCGUGACUUCGCCCGGACUCCUCGGGUCCAUCGGUCCAAGCCUACUCGCGUUCAUCCUUCACCGCCCUUGGUCCAUCGGCAUGAACCUUUCGCUUGACCUUCACCGCACGCCGUCGACCGCCACGUCGCAUCCUACACCUGCACAUCACAAGCCAAGAGAAACAUCAAACCAACACAACGUUGUCAAUCACUCAUCAUCCAAGGGUGACCACCAUUGGUCCUCAAUCUCCCCCUUGAUGAGUGCAUUGACAACACCCCACAAAUUCAUAGUAUUGAAACAGAAAAACAAGAAACUCAAAAUAGAAAAAUCUCAGUCCCCUAAGAUAAGGGCAACGGCUCUACACAACUGAGACAAAAUCAUGUGAUCCCUCAAGAAGAGGCAGAAAACGGGCUCAACACCAAUCACAUGAAAAUCCAAACUCAAAACAAAAAACCGGCUCCUCAAGAAGAGGUAAAUAGCUCAACGCGACCGGUACAAGGGCAUAAGAGCAUAACAAGAGUAUAACAACUCAUAAAUACUCCCCCUGAACAUAUGCACUCCCCCUGAAAUCAUGCAUACAUGCAAAGUCUCCCCCUUGAUAGAUGAAAAAGUUUGUGUAGAUUUCUCUCCCCCUUGUUGACAAUGCAAUCAUCAAGAAAAGCAUGAAAGCACAAAGUGCAUGCAGAACCUAACAAGCUUCUCAAAUAUAUCACAAUGCACUCUCAAAGGCUACUAGGGAGAUAAAGCUUGAUAGAUCAUAAGAAACAAUAGCAUCGCCAACAAGAUGAUAUCAAGUUACAACAGUGGAGGUGAAGCAACUAUCAAGUUUUAGCAAUGUAUAAAAAGAUCACCGCAUGAGCAUUCACCUAGUUAAGAAUCACCCAAGCAAGAAUAGACUAGUCCAUCAAGAGCUCAUACUAGGAAAAUCCAUUCUCAACAAGAGAUCAUUGCAAACACCCACAUAUGCAUCCCAAGUCAUGUUUAAAGCUUGUUGAAAACAAGUGUCUACUUCUUUUGGUAGACAUCUUGUGACAACUAAGCAAGCAAUAAUAUCAUAUUAAGCACAAAAACUCGGUGAAUUUAUGAAGUUUUCAGCAUAUUUCUUUUCAGUAUUCACACAAAGCAAAAUACAUGAAGUGCCUUUGCGGCACAAAGAAGCCAUGCUUCCCCAAGGGGUGCAGCAUGGGCUAAACAUUUGCAAUGAUACCUAGAUCUUUGACCCAAUUGAAAAGAACAUGAAUUCCAAACAUAAGCUAGAUAUGGAACCAGUAUUCAACCAAGGGCAAACCAUAACCAAGCAUCUACUCAUGGGUGAUAAGCAAGUUAAUAGAGUAGAAUUUAGCAUUGAAUUUCAAAAAACAGUUAUCUCAACAAGUAUACAAUAUCAUCAAGAGCAUAACUGCACAUUGCAUCCAAAUCACCAAUCACAGCACUACCUCACAAAUAGCAUAAGGGAGUACACAAGAUAUAUAGGAGAAGCUCAUCUAGUGCAACAUGAUACAAAAUGCAAUAUGAUACAAAAUGCAUGGAAACUAAGCUAAAAUGAUACAGAUGAACAACAUGCCAUACCCAAAUGUGAACUAAGGUAAAGCAUGACAUGAUGUUCAUAUGUAUCAUCCACCACAAUAUAUCACAAAAAUAGCAUGAUAAGAUAUACAUGAAGAACUCAAAGCUAUCAUGAAAAAGUGACUAUCCUACCAUGUUUUAUACAAAAAUGAUACAAGUAUAAUACAAGAGAAGCUCCAAAAACCCAACUCAGAAUGGAAAGCAAACACCCAACUCCCCCCGCAAACAAGCAAAAGUGGCUUGAUCCAGGGGUUUGGUGAAAAUGUCCGCGAGUUGGUUUUGGGUAGCAACAUAGCCAAGGUCAAUAUCCCCUUUCUCAACAUGAUCUCUCAGAAAAUGAUAUCUCACAUCAAUGUGUUUAGUUUUUGAGUGGAGAACGGGGUUCUUGGCUACACUAAUGGCACUCGUGCUGUCACAAAGAAGAGGUACACGAGUAAAAUCCAAACCAAAGUCUCUCAAAGUGGAAAUCAUCCAAAGCAGCUGAGAACAACAGCUAGCAGCAGCAACAUACUCAGCUUCGGUGGUAGACUGAGCAACACUAGAUUGUUUGCGAGAAGACCAAGAGACCAAAGACGAACCGAGAAACUGGCAAGUACCCGAGGUAGACUUGCGAUCCAAGCGACACCCAGCAAAGUCCGCAUCGGAGUAUCCCCGGAGCGUGAGUGUCGAGGAGGCAGAAUACCACAAACCGAACUCAGGGGUAAAGCGGAGAUACCUCAUGAUCCUCUUCACUGCUUGACGGUGAGAUGUCCUUGGUGAAGCCUGAAAACGAGCGCACAGACACACGACGAAGUGUAUGUCCGGCCUCGUCGCCGUCAGGUACAAGAGGGAGCCGAUCAUGCUUCUGUACUCCUUCUGGUCCACCGGUUCGCCAUCUUCAUCCGCAUCUAGUGCCGUCGUCGUACCCAUGGGUGUGGAGAGUGGCUUAGCAUCAGCCAUGUCAAACUUCCUCAACACGUCCUUCGUGUACUUCCCUUGGUGCACAAGUGCACGAAGGUUCCUUCCUUGCUUUGCUUAAUUUGUAGUCCGAGGAAGAAGGUCAACUCACCCAUCAUCGACAUCUCGAACUCCCUGCUCAUGUCAUCUGCAAACUUGGCAACCAAAGCAUGAGAAGAACCACCAAAGAUAAUAUCAUCCACGUAUAUCUGAAUAAUCAAUAAGUCAUUGCCUUGCCUGAGGAGAAAGAGUGUUUUAUCAACUGAUCCCAUUUCAAACCCAUUCCCAAGCAAAAAGGAUUUCAAUCUAGCAUACCACGCUCGGGGUGCUUGUUUUAGGCCAUAGAGAGCUUUCUGGAGUUUGAAAACACGAUCAGGAUAUUUAGGACUCUCAAAACCAGGGGGUUGUUUCACAUACACUUCCUCCUCUAUGAAACCAUUUAGAAAGGCACUUUUCACAUCCAUUUGGAAGAGCUUAAAACCUUUAGCCACAGAGAAGGCUAGAAGGAUUCUAAUUGCUUCCAAACGGGCAACAGGGGCAAAGGUUUCCUCAUAAUCUAUCCCCUCUUUUUGGCUAAAACCUUGGGCAACCAACCUCGCUUUGUUUCUCACAAUCAACCCAUCCUCACCUUGUUUGUUUUUGAAAACCCAUUUUGUUCCUAUAGGAUGGCAAUUUGGAGGUGGUUCAACUAAAACCCAAACCCUAUUUCGCUCAAAGUUCUCCAACUCCUCAUGCAUGGCAUUAACCCAAUUUGAAUCAGAUAAAGCAUGUCCAAUAUCUCGGGGUUCGAAAGAGGCAACAAAUGCAGAAUGUGCAAAGUGUGAAAUAUGCCUAGAGCUGUGCCUAGUGGUGCGUUCAUGUAAGUUACCGAUCAUCUGUUGUGGAGGAUGACGACGCUGAAUGUGCCGUGGAGCCUCUCGCUCUGAAGUCGCCUCCCCCUCAACAGCAGCUGAAUCACUCUGAUCUUCUUCUUCUUCAUCCUGUAGUGGUACUGGUUGAUGGCUUGAAGUAGUGGAAGUAGAGGUAGGGCCAUCAACUCUCGUAGUCGAAGUAGAAGAUACAGGUGCAACAGCUGGAGCUCGGUCAAUCUCAUCAUCCUCUUCCUCACCACCAUCUACACGCUCUUCCUCUUCCUCAAAUAUGCUUUGCCCCAUUUCAUGUUCACCUGCAACUUCAAAGACAGGAGUUGUGCAAGGCAUAGUUUUAUCGAAUGUAAUCUCACAAGUUUCCACGAUCCGGUUAGUUUCAAGGUUAAGCACACGAUAAGCACGACUAUGAGAAGCAUAACCAAGAAAAAUCCCAUCCGUAGAACGAGACUCAAAUUUAUCCAAAUUUCCUUGCUUGAGAAUGAAACACUUGCAACCAAACACUCUCAGAUGACUCACUUUGGGGGAACGUCGAUGCAUCAGCUCAUAAGAAGUUUUCUUCAGGAAAGCUCGCAAAAAGAUUCGAUUGGACACAUAGCAAGCAGUGUUGACGGCUUUGGCCCAAUAUUUUCUAGGAGUCCUAUGCUCAUCAAGCAUCGUCCUAGCCAUUUCACAAAGGGUCCGAUUCUUCCGUUCAACGACACCAUUCUGAGGAGGGACAUAAGGCGAUGAAAACUGGUGUUCAAGACCAAGAUCAUUGCAAAAGGCUUUAAAACGAGCGUUUUUGAAUUCUGUGCCAUUGUCACUGCGGAUAGCUCUCAUGGCAUCUUUUGGUCGCUCAUUUCUCAACCUCAAGAUCAAAUCUUGAACAAAAGGACAUGCCUCAUCCUUAGAUUCCAUGAAGAAAACCCAUGAAUACCUCGAAAAAUCAUCAACGAUCACAAGCACAUACCACUUCCCACCGACUGAACAAACACGAGCUGGACCAACAGUGUCCAUACGCAACAGCUCGCCUGGAUGUUCAGUCAUCACCUGAUUCACAGGUGGAUGGGAAGCAGCAACCAUCUUCCCAUGUCGACAGGGAGCACAAACAAGAUCUUUCUCAAACUUUAAUUUAGGCAAACCACGAAUAAGAUCCAAAGUACUCAAGCGGGAAAGCAAAUCAAAGCUCAAAUGACCCAAUCUCCUAUGCCAUUUCCAAAGUUCAGAAGAUGAGCCAGCCACUAAACACCGAGAGAGACCAAAUGACUUGGAAAAAUCAACUCGAAAUACUUGACCCUCGGGGACGAUCAUACACACAAGAUCACCUCGAGAGUCUAAAAUCCUUGAGGUCCCUUGCUUAAAACGGACCUCAAAACCAUCAUCAAGCAGUUGCGACACAGAGAGCAAAUUGAAACCAAGAGAAUCAACUAGAGCAACUCGCUUGAGCAUGAAAUUCUCACUCACCUUGAUAACACCUUCAGACAACACCUUACCUUUGCUAUUAUCCCCGAAAGUGAUGUACUCCUUGGUCAUCACCGGGGUGAGGCUGGAGAACCAUCUGUGAUCACCGGUCAUGUGUCGAGAGCAACCGGAAUCAAUAAGCCACGUGUUCUCCAGGCCUCCGACCUGCUCAAACAAAGGGAGACCAAGGAUGAGCAAAUGACUCAACACUGGGGUUAGAAAAACAAGUAGAAUACCAGUGUCGAACCAUUUGCUCAAGAGUGGGGUUAUCAAAAUCAACCAUCUCUCAUCUCACAGGAGGACUACGGCCAACGCUAGGGGGAAAACGUGGUCCGUUGUAGCUCCGAGACUCAAAGCCACAACCAUAUUGUCCUGGGCCAUAUUGAUCAUGGCGAGGAGCAUGCCUAGCAAAAACACGCGAAGGAGCAAAACGCACACUAUCCACACGACGAGGUGGAGGAGCUGCUCUAGGCGCAUGUACACCAUGAGAAGGGUGGUACAUGUCCCUGUUGCCCCACUCACGCUCACGCCUCAAAGCCUUCUUCUUGCGAAAGCAAAACUCCUCAAGGUGACCCCAUCUCUUGCAAUACUCACAGUGGAAUCUAGCAGGCUGUUUUGGCUGAGGAUUCACUCUAGGUUGUGGCUUGUCUUGGGUUUUUGGUGGAGGUUUCUUACGAGCAAUAUCUGGAAGUGUGUCAAGUUUGUUCUUGAGGUGGUUUGGCUUUUCCACCCAAAUGGCUUUCUUGGGUACUUUAGGUGGUGUCUCAAUGAAAAUUCCAUCUCUCACACACUCAGACAAGUUUUGCUCACAAGCUGGAUUGGGUUGCUCUCUAUUUUUAGUGGGUGACUCUCGAGGGGUGUAGUCAAUUGGUGGCUCACACUGAUUGUAGCUUGGUUUCUUUCUCUCACCACUGUUUUGACCCACCUUCUCACACAACCCAUCAAAGAACUUGUGCAACCCAUUAAAAAGACAUCCCUUCAUAACUGACCCAAGCCCAAAACCAUCAGCCCUUUUGAACUCCUGAAUCAUCAUGCCUAACUGAGGUUCCCUACUUGACACCCAACUAAGAACAGUGCGCAAGUAGGAGUUUUCAUCCUCAACAUGUUGCAAAUUAAGCUUGAGUUCAGGACAAACAGUGCAUUCAGGAAGUUUAGAUCUAGCAAUAAACUCAGACUUCUCUAAAGCACUAAGCUUAGCACAUGCAUCAUCCAACUGAACUUGCAAAGCAGGGCAAGACUUGCAUGCACGAAGCAAAACAGGCCUAUUCUUGAUCUCAUCUAAAGCAGCCCUAGUCAAAUCCAAUUCAUCUACCAACAAAGCAUGCUUAGAUUGUAAAGAUGCAAGACUAGCCAUAUGAACACCACAUUCAACACACUCAACAACAUCAGAAACAGUAGAAGCAGAUUUAAGCAUGUCUAUCUCAAUCAAGGCACUUUCUAACUUAGCCUUAAGCUCAACUCGCUCUUUAGCAGCCUUCUUAAGCAGUUUAUCUUGAUUGAUUAGGCAAUCAUUAAGUUCUUCUAUUUCUAGAGCAAGUUGUUCAGGAGUAGACUUUACCUCAGUUUCUGUGUCGGAGUCACUUUCCUUGUCAUCCUUCUUGGAGUUGAGAGCCAUGACACAGUACCCGUCGCGGUUCUUGUCGGAGUAGAAGCAGAGGCCAUUGAAGUUCUUGCCGUCCUUCUUCUUUGCCUUGCGGUCGUCGUCCUCCUCGCUUGAGCUUGAGUCGGUGUGGUCGUCGGUGACGGAGUCGACGUCGCUGAGGGAGGCGAUGAAGGCACGUGCUUUGGCCUUCUUGCGAUACUCCUUCUUCUCGCGGUCGGUGUACUUCUUCUUCUUCUUGGUGCCGUCCUUGUUCUUGUGCUUGUUGUAGUCGUACUUGCUCUUGGUUUUGUUCUUGUCGGGGCAGUCGGCGGCGAAGUGGCCUGGCUUGCCACAAUCGAAGCAGUUGUUGUUGUUCCUUCGCCUGUUCUUGCGGUUGUCAUUGAAGCGCAUGAAUCGCCUUGUGAUCAAGGCGAGCUCAUCAUCAUCAAGAACCUCCAGCUGCUCCUCUGAAACAGAAACCAAAGAAGACAAGGCAAACGACAUAGAAGAAGAGUUACUCAAAGACUUAGGCUGUCCAGAGCCUGACAUGAGAGCCAUACUAUUUGGAUCAGUAGGGCCUCCUUGUUUUGCUCGGAGCCUCUUGUCAACCUCCGUGGAUUUCAACUUGGCAAAGAGUUCAUCAAUGGAAAGUGUUUCAUAAUUCGGUGACUCGAUGAUAGCAUCAACCUUCGUACCCCACACUUCGUGAUCCAAGGCAUGCAGGAGCUUUAAAGCUCUAUCAUGAUCAAUGUAGGGUAAGACGAUGAUAUUUGCUUUCAUCUUGUUCACAAUAGCUAAGAAACGCUGAAACAAAGCAUCGGCAGACUCACCAGGCAAAUGAACAAAGUUCUCAUACUCACGCCUAUAAGUCUCAAAGAGUCUAGCCUUCACCUGACUGUUUCCCUCGUGGAAACUCUGAAGUCGAGACCAAAUCUCAUGAGCAAGAGAGAGAUCUUCGACUCGAUCGAACUCAGCACGACUCAGACUCGCAAACAGAAUAUCAACCGCCUUGCUGUUGGCGUGAUACUUAUCCCUUUCAUCCUGAGUCACACGAGUAGCAGGAAUCACAUAAGUCACAUCCUGAGUGAUUUCCCAAACCCCUGCUCCCCUACUAUUAAGAUGGGCUCUCAUGCGAGUUUUCCAAUACCGAUAAUCAGAGCCAUCAAAGUAGGGUGCAGCGGUCGAGGAAGAACGCUCAGAGGUCGCCAUAAUAGGUUUCGAAACCGAUUAGGGUAUGGAGAAACCUUAACCGGCUCUGAUACCAAUUGAAGGACCGAAGGGGCGACCAGAGGGGGGGUGAAUGGGAGCCUAUAAAAAUUCUCAACGAAAACAAGGCCUAUGUCCCAAACGCAACCCCAAAGCACACUGCGCGUCGUAUCGUCAAGAUGACACAAGUCAACUCGUGACAAGCUCACCCUAGGAACGAUUUGACACGCUCAAGAUAUAACGGAAGCAAGACAUAAAAUGACUCCAUCAACUUUGCGCAAAUGAGAUUAAGCAAAGACACUACUGACCACAAGCAAACCUCACUUUAUCUGAUCAUGCAACUAUUAAAUAAAGAUACUUAUCUAACAUACGAGGAUUAGCAAAGGAAGGUGCUAAUUAGAUAUCUAAACAACCAGACAACAAUUAAUUAGCAAUGUAUUAAAAUAAAUGACUCGCACAAAAGAAUUGCUUACAGUGGACCACUUGCUUGCUACGCUAGCUAAUCUGGUGCUAGGCCUGCAGGGAAGCUUGGGCCGCAACUUGUUGGCCUGCUGGCUUGCAAACUGAGCUUCACGAGCUGGGUCGAAAAGCUGGCUUCCUACAGCUGAUCGGAUGGGCUGCUAGCCUUGAUCUGCUCCUGCUAGGCUGCUGCUUCACGGCCCGCCUGCCGGUUGAAUCCUCCUGGGCCGUGCGUGGCAGCAGGCCUGGGUUGCGGUGUGGGCUGGUUCAGCUUGCUCCUCCCGGUGGACUGCGACCUGCCGCUGGCGAGCUGCAGCUUUGCAGCACCACCGUUGGACUGCUGGCCUGCUGCUGCUCCACCUGGUUGCCUGCGCGCACGAACAGAAGCACGAACUGGAGAACAGAAAGAAAACGAAGAACACCAAGAACUAGAACCAAACUUCAAUUCGUAAGAUCUCUUCCUAUACUUCGCGGAUCGAGAUGAAAUCUGAAACAAGGAUGCAAUACCCCAAGGGCAAAUAGAUCCAUGAAACUAAUCCUGAAAAGCUCAAUAAUUCAUCACGGAUUUUGGAGAAAACCGAAACCCUAACUCAAGAACGCGAUUUGGGAAAAACUCAAAAUCAAGCCGGAUUCGUGAGGGAUUUGAAAGGGGAUCAUAUCACGAAUGCUCUCCAAGGUCCUAGCAACAUUUCCCUUCAACCAAUCUCACGAGAUUCGGGCUCAACCAUGAUGAACGAAAAUUCCCCAAAAAUAGUUCCGAAAAUAGGGAAAAAGAAAAACGCUCGGGAAUCAAAGAUUUAGCACGAUUUGAGACAACAAAUAAAGCUAAAUCACGAGAACAUCUUCUAUACAAGAUGAGGACUAGCCUCCUCCCUUCAUCCACCCACUAAAGAUGAAGAAAUCAAGAGAAAAGAGUAAUCACUCCCUAAUCCCCCUCUCUCCUCUCACUUUAAGCACAUGACUAGCCUCUAAGCAAAUAGAUAAUAAGUUGCUAAGCAAAGAGGUGCUGAAAUAACCAGCCCCCCAUCCCUAUUUAUAGUCCAAGACGAAAGACUAUACUACCCCUACAGCUACAACUAAGAUAACUACCCACGCAGGGGCAUUUUGGUCCAAGUUUUUAUCCGUGCAUCGGACGGACACGCCGCCUUCACGACUUUGCUUCGCCUCGACGCAAGCUUCGCGAUGACACCACGUGCCCUCCUUCUCGAAGCUCCGGCCACACCGGGCUCGCCCCCGGUUUUGAGGCCCAAACCGGGAAACCUGCCUGCGUAGUGGUUUUGAGGCCCAAACCACCCAAACCGUCCAUUGACGCGUGUCCGGCCUCCGCCAAGCCUCCCGCUUGACUCGACUGACGCCGUCUCCAUCGUAUCAUGCCCUCUCGCCAUUCCGUGCACCAUGUGGACCGCCCGUGACUUCGCCCGGACUCCUCGGGUCCAUCGGUCCAAGCCUACUCGCGUUCAUCCUUCACCGCCCUUGGUCCAUCGGCAUGAACCUUUCGCUUGACCUUCACCGCACGCCGUCGACCGCCACGUCGCAUCCUACACCUGCACAUCACAAGCCAAGAGAAACAUCAAACCAACACAACGUUGUCAAUCACUCAUCAUCCAAGGGUGACCACCAUUGGUCCUCAUGUGUGCUUUCAUACAACAAACUAGAAGGUCCUAUGCCUGAGUUUAGCAAUCUUAAACAACUCACUGAACUACGUCUGUCAUCCAACAGAAUUGUUGGUGAAAUCCCUGCCACUUUAUCUGACUGCCACUUUAUCUGAAUGUCAAGAGUUGAAUGUCAUUGAACUAGACCAGAAUAUUCUAACAGGAAGCAUUCCAUUGCCUUCAGGUAAUUUGGCAACUUUGAACAUGCUCAAUCUUUCCCACAACAAUUUGUCAGGCUUCAUCCCAACAACUCUAAAGCAUCUGAAUCUUUUGACUCACCUGGAUCUUUCUUACAAUCACCUCCAAGGAGAAAUACCAAUCAAUGGAGUGUUUGCAAAUGCAACGGCUGUUUCCCUCAACAACAACAACUGGGGGCUUGAUAGAUCUCCGCAUGCUUGUGUGCCCUGCAGUUACUUGGAAAAUAGAGUGGAAACAUUAUUUGACCAUCUUACUUAUUCCAGUAUUUAGCUUCAUGUCACUCGCGAUGUCAAUUUAUAUUACAGUCCUUGGGAAGACAUCAAGAAGGCCAAAUUUAUCAUUACUUUCUUUUGGUAAGAAAUUCCCUAUGGUUUCUUAUAAGGAUCUAGCUCAAGCUAUAGCUAGGGAACUUUUCAGAGUCCAACCUAAUUGGAAGGGGAAGCUACGGUUCAUUAUAUAGAGGGAAGCUAACUCAAGCUAAAGUCCAAGAUGCUAUUAAGGUUUUUGACCUUGAGGUUAGAUUUGCAUAUAAAAGUUUUGCCUCAGAAUGUGAGGCUUUGAGAACCAUUCGGCAUCGGAAUAUUCUUCCCUAUGGUAAUGAUUUUAAGGUCCUAAUUUAUGAGUUCAUGUCCAACGGGAGUUUGGAUACAUUGUUGCAUCAAAAACAUGGUGGUGUUUCUCCAAAACUUUUGGGCUUAUCUUAAAGAAUAAGCAUAGGUGUUGACAUAGCCGAUGCAUUGGCCUAUUUACACCAUGACUGUGGAAGGCCCAUUGUCCACUGUGAUCUGAAACCAACUAAUAUCUUUCUUGAUGAUGACAUGAAUGCUUAUUUGGGAGACUUCGGCAUAGCAAGUCUUGUUGUUGAUUCUAGGUCAAUAGCAGUUGGACAUUCAUGUUGCAGUAGUUCUCUCACUAUCACAGGAACUAUAGGCCAUAUUGCUCCAGGUAUAAAUGCCAUCGCCUCCACUAUUUGUAUACUAUCUGUUAUGCACACAAUAAUAAUUUUAUUUUUCAAUUUUUCAGAGUAUGCUCAAAGUGUUUAUGCAUCAACCUGUGGGGAUGUCUAUAGUUUUGGCAUAGUACUUCUGGAGAUGUUAUAGGCAAAAGACCAGUUGAUUCUAUGUUUGAGGGUGUGCUCAGCAUUAUCAGCUUUGUGGAGAGAAAUUAUCCAGAUCAAGUGUUACAUAAAAAUCAUUGAUGCUCAUCUUCAAGAAGAAUGCAAAUACUUUAUUAAAGCAAUGGCGGCAACAGAAAACAAGGUCUAUGGAUGCCUGUUGUCGCUCAUGCAAGUUGCGCUUGCUUGUAAACUUCCAUUUCCAAGGGAAAGAAUGAGCAUGAGAGAAGUCGCCAUUAACUUACAUACAAUCAGAAAAUCAUAUGUUGCAGCAAUUAAGUGAGAGAAAACCAUAUGUGGUGUUAAGCCAAGUUGUAUGUACUAUGUAGUAUGUAGUACCAGCUCAUACUAAUAUUUGUCUUUAGAACAUUUAGAAGUUGGGAUUUGAGGUGCUGUUUGAAUUUUUUUUUUUGGUAUCUCUGUAAUAUGAGUAUGUGACUUGUUAGAAUCGAUCCUAUUGAUAAUACAUAUAAAGGGCAUGUUAUCUCUGUCAAGAUAAUUCUAAUUCAUUGGAUAUUAUUUAUUAUGGUAUCUGGAACACGAAAUACAUAGAGUGGAUCAAGAAAAAAUGGAACUAUGAUUGAUACUCACUAUUUAGACCCCGCAACUAGACUGGAAAAAAAUUCAAGUAGUUCUUAAUAAAAAAGAAAUUUUCUUCCAAUUUUGUUUGCCCAAAAGAGAACUUUUUUUCUCCUUCAAUAAAUGAUCUUCAAGCGGAGUAACGGUAAUGGAAUUAGAGAGCAGCUGCAGGGAUUUUUCUGAUUAGAUGCUGCACAUUAUUGAUGCAAUGCUCAUCUCCAAGAAGAAUGCAAGGGUUUUAUUCAAGCAAAGCUCAAACAGACAAGGGCGGAUGCAGGAUGGGAGGUUUGGCGGGGGGGGGGGGGGGGGUUCAUUUCCCUUCCCCUUCCUCUAGCACCCCCUUUCUUCCUCCUCUCUCCCUUCUUUCCUCCUCUUCUCCCUUCUUCCCUCUUCUUUCCAUGGAGUUCCUGGGACCCCCACGCUGGAUCCGCCCCUGGAAACAGAUAAUACAGUGAAUUCAUGAUUGUUAUCUCUAAUGCAGAUAGCUCUUUCUUGGACUUAUCUAUUCCCAAGAGAAAGAAUGAAUACGAUAGAAUUUGUCAGUGUAAGUUGCAAUCAAUCAGAAUGACAUAUGUAAGAGAAAACAGUCAUAGUUCAUAUUUAGUAGAGUAUUUUACAAUAUGGCAGGAAUCUUGUGUAGGCAGUUUAGGUUCUCUUUGAAUGCAAUGGGCACAAAGUUGGCAAUUCAGCCUAUGUGUUCGCAUGUUAAAAAAGAAUGAGGUACCCUGCUAUAAAGCUGUAACCUGUAGGUGGUGAAUGAUGAACAGUGUAUAGUGCCAUCAUAUUAAGAUUGGGCUUUUGAGCAUUUGGAAAAAUGGUUUUGAUAAGGCAUCAAUAAAUUGACAAAGUACUCAGAUCGCUUCUAUGGUAGUGUGUGACUGUAACACUGAGUGGUGUUUCAGAAAACUUUAUGAUAAAUGGAAUGACGCUGCUAAUCUGACCGCAAGUCCGCAACCUAGCUAACAACCGCUCGGAUCCCUAAUCCGAACCUCAAACUACAGUCAUUCCAAAAGUCAAGGUCGACGAGAUCCUGAGCGUACCGUUAGUGCGGCCGCUGGUUAGCCGCCUGCUUUUUUUUUAUGAAACAGGAGAGGCAGAUCCCCUGCUAGUUAUAUAUUAAUAAAUAAAAAUAAAUGUACAAAGAUAAGAAAAGAAAAAACAGAAUUACAAUACAGAUAGCCAGAUGUCUAUACUAGGAUGGUACUUCUUUGCUUGAUGCAUAACCAUGCCAAACUCUUUCCUGAAUAAUUGUUUGCAGUGCAGAGUUGCAGACACCUAGUUUUCAAAGAUAAAGUUAUUUCUGCACGUCCAUCUACUCCAUGUCAUGAUGACAAUAAUCUCCAUGAAGAAAAGCCUAGCAAUCUGAUCUUUAAGGGAAUUUAGGUUGUCAUACCUAGAUAGAUUGUCAUCUAUGUGCAAGCCUAUCUGUUCCCAACACAAUUUAGCAAAUGGGCACCACAGGAAGAGAUGAAGCAUAGUUUCAAGGUUGUUGUCAUUGCACGGUACACAACUGUAACUUUGGAGAUCCAUAUUCUUUCUCUGCAAAAUAUCUCUUGUAUUGAGUCUGUCCUUAAGAAGUAGCCAAAAGAAGAUCUUGUGCUUGGUUUGACAGCAGCUGUUCCAUAUCCAUUUAAAUGCUGGAUGAAUAUCUAAAUGGCCUUUCAAUGUUGUAUAUGCUUUUUGUGACCUGUACGUGUUUGAUCCCCAUAUGUAUGUCCAAAUGUCACGGGCUCCCUGAUCUGAAUAUUUCCAAUGCUAUUUUGUAAAUGCAGAAAUUGAUCAUAUGCUUCUAUGGAUAGGGGCAGGUGGAAAAGUGAGUGCAGCUCUUCAGUGUUCAUCCUUAGGCUGAUAUUUAUGUUCUUUGCAAAUGAGAACAAUUCUAGGAAGUUUAAACUAGGUACCAUGCCACACCAAAAAUCAUUCCACUGGUAAACUGAAUUUCCAUUAUGGGGGAUAGGAAUGGCCAUACCUUUGUAGAGAUGUAAGAUUUUUUGAAUGUGUCUCCACCAGAAUGAUCCUAUUUUCACUGAGCCUGGAAGCUUACCAUUGCUGUAGUAAUUAUCUCAGAUUAGAUGAACCCAUGGUAAGUCUGCAUGGUUGAAGAAUUUAUGCAAGUUUUUCAAAAUGAGAGCAUUAUUCUGAGCUUUGAUAUCUGGUACCCAAGGUCUCCUUCCUCCUUUGUAGACACACCAUUUCCCAUGCAGCUUUCGGUAGCUUCUUAGCAUUUAAAUCAGAUCCCUUCCAAAGGAGAUGCUUUCUAUAUUUAUCAAUCUGCUUUAUGACAGUGGCACGUAGUUUCAUAGUAGACACGAUGAAUGUUGGUAGAGAUGUUAAGACUGAAUUAACUAGGAUAAGUUUACCACCCUGUGAGAGAAGGUUUGAUGUUACCAAGAUUCUGCUUUCACACUUCUUGACUAGAGGCAUGAUGUCCUUUACAGAGGGUUUAGUGAGGCCAAGGGCAUCCCCAAAUAUGUGAAAGGCGGCUAUGUCCCAAUUGCACAGCCCAAUGUGGAUGUCAGGAGAGAUAAUUUAUCUUCAGGAGUGUUAAUUGGCACCAUCAAUAAUUUUGAGUAAUUUACUUUCAGGCCUGAUGAUGAGGCAAAGCUAUUCAAUAGAUCCCUGAGAGAGGAUAAUUGUGAUUCAUCACUUUCCAGGAUUCAGCCACCUGCUUCGCCGUCCGCCGCUGCCCGCAACUGCGACUCUCCACGCUCCGGCCCCAAAUGACGCGUGCCGCCUGCGCUCGCGUAGUGGCCGAUUUCAUCCGCAACGGCGCAGUGCCGCCAUGGUGGGAACCACUUCGUCGCUUUGCAACUGUGGUGAGAUUUUGGAAAUUUUUUAUUUUUUAUUUUUUUAUUUUAGCAUUUUGUAAAAAUAUAUGCCUAAAUAAAAAAAAUUGCAAAUCUAGACGCAUACCGUCAUUUGAAACGGCUAUAGCCAAAUAAACCAGCAGAAGGUGUACUAUAGCAACCUUACUGCCGGUUCAACCGGCGAUAUCUCUCCUCUCUGGAUAGCUCAUCUUCAAAAAACCAUAACUUUUCAUAUGAACUCAGGUGGACAGAUCCCUUGGACCCUAAUCGAAAUCCCAGAUUGGAUUUUGGAAUUUUUUAUUUUUUAUUUUUAUUUUAGCAUUUUGUAAAAAUAUAUGCUCAAAUAAAAAAAAUGCAAAUGUAGAUGCAUACCAUCGUUUGAAAUGGCUAUAACCAAAUGAAGCGGUGGAAGGUGUACUUUAGCAACCUUACCGCCAGUUCAACCAGCGAUAUCUCUCCUCUCUAGAUAGCUCAUCUUCAAAAAAUUAUAACUUUUCAUAUGAACUCAGAUGGAAGAUUCCUUAGACCCUAAUCGAAAUCCCAGACUAGAACUAGAACCGCCACCUAGCUACAUACUUGAAUCAAACGAACAGUGAGGACCUAGCUAGGAGAUCUUCCGCGUACCGUUGAUGCAGCUUCUGGUCGGCUGCCUAAUGCUGCUGGCCCGUCCGCCUCUCCGUUUCGUCCUCGAAGUCUCAAACGCGCCGCCUCUCACCGCCCGUCGCGCGUGGAGUGGCGCGCGGUGGACGUCGCUGCUGUGUUGGCUUAGCCCAAUCGCGCUGUUCGUUGGGCGAGGCCGAAUGCGCUCUGUUGGUUGGCCGGGCCGAUCGAUCCGUUCGUGCCCAAGAGUUGCGGGCUGCAACAAGAGUACAAGACGCAGAAUGAUGGUGGCUGAACAGGCCUAAUGGGCCUCAUAAGCACUCAGAAGUCCACCACUGCAAAUCUCCAACUCAUGCGAAAAAAAAGUUGUACGCACAGAUUAUUUGGUCUCUAGUGUGUCCUUCAUUUAUGCAUAAACUAUGCACGUUGUGAUUUGUAUUAUUAAAAAAUUAGAAUAAGAUCUCUGUAUAAAUUAGGCGCUUCCUCUAAGGAGACUGAGUUAGCUAGCUCUUACACCUCCAUAUCAGAUUUUUUUUACGAGGAAGAGAGAGUGCAAGGAGAGAGAAAGUGCAGUAUCUCUUUUCCAAGAACUAGCUUAUAACGAGAAGGUAUGUUCCAUACUUUAUUAAUUAAAGAGAGGUUGUUGGAGUAGGAUGCUUUGAGCAACGUGCUAUUAUAUGAGUUGGAUAAGCUUAUAGAUAGUGCAUGUACUAACUCAACCGUAAAAAUAAGUUUGCAUAAUUCAUCAUGGAACGACACACUGUGGUCAAUAGAUCUUAGUACAAAGUGUUGGGAUCAAAGACCCGAACAGAAACCGUAAGAGAGAGAAAUCAUAUAAUCAGAUAGGCAAAAAGUUUCUCUUCCCUAAAGCUCUAGGCUCUAUUUAGAGGGAGGAGCACAUAACUAUUUAUAUUUACUCCAUUAAUAAGGUAAAAUAUUACAUAUAACUCCCUAAACUCUACAACGAGGUCUGUGGACAUUGCAAAUAAGUCACAUACCUUACAAAGAAACCCUUAGAUGUCGCGAAUGGGUCCUCGAACCACUAAUUUGAAUCUCUUUUAUACAAAAGGGGUUCCAAGUCUUGGCAUCCUAAGGCGCCCCAACACGGAGUAUUGACAAAAUUAAUAUGAACAUGGAUAUUUAUUUGAGCUAUAGACUCAAACCUUAAGUGAGCAAAUUCCACUAUGUAAAAGCUAACUAGUUGCAGUAUGCUCAGUUUGCUAAGUUGCGAUAUUUCUAUCGAACCUCGUAAAUAAAGAUCGUCGGCCAAUAAAGACAUUGGCUUCUUUAGUAAUUCAUGGUAAUGUAAGACAGUGGAAACUAUUCGCAGUUUACCAUAAACAUAUAUACCUUCCGUAAUGCAUACUAAGAACAGGCACUUCAAUCAAAUAUCCUCGAAGAGAAAGUGCUUUUGGCCUAUAACUGAAUUGGGUUUCAAACUUUCAAUCACCAGAUAUCCUCUCUAAUUCGUACAAUACCCACCGUUAGCAUUCUUAGCAAAAUCGUGAGAAGCACGGCCUCCAAAAAUCUGAUCCAGAUCGAAUACUUACAGGUACAGGUUUACUUGACCGGCGGCGUUAGUUGGCCAGGAAAUAAAACCAGUGAACAGAUUAAAUCCACAAUCACUACUACUUCACUAGAAAGAACCAAAAUGACUAUGGAGACAAGAAUCUUGUAGCGGUAGCAUUCCACGAGUUGAAUUUUGUCAGCAUCGUAUGUGGCUGACACAAGUCACACAUCCGCGCAGAAAAAUUUCUGUUCGAUUCGCUGAACAGUGACCGCAGAGCUCUUGGAUUAAAAGCGAUGGACAUGCCGCAACAAGCUAGUCCAGCUCAAACAGUGACCGCAGUGGCGUACCUUUGAGGAGAUGAAAGCUGAAAAGCCGCAUUAGCUGCCAAGAUUGACGGACUCAAGGUCGUCGCUGCAAGGGCAAGGGCGAUAAUAACCUUAGCAAAGGCGUGACAGUGCCACUGCCACAGCCCACAGGGCAUCGCCGCAUCGGAGGCGUGUGGACGUGAGAUGCUGUAACUGAUAAUACAAGCUGCUCACCCAACGCACUGCUUGUGGAUGAAAUGGUGAUGUAAAAUCGUUUUUGAACCCUGGAGCCCUGAGCCAGCUGUGCAUCCAACUCAAAGUUCACAGUUCAAACACCAGACUGCCAAACGGCAGGACCAAGCUCGUCAAAACCGCUGCUGCUUCGUGCGCGCUCCAUCCUGCCGAUCAGAGGUGUUUAUGUUCCUUCUCUAUGAGUAUUUGCAUCUUUUACGUGUCUUAUUUGCAUAUAAGAGGAGUGCUCUCAGGCUUCCUAAUAUUUUAUUGGUUGUCAGUGAUGUGGGGGCAUUUGACAAAGUCAAUGCUCCGCGUUUCCUUCGCUUAGUGCUCUCUCGCAGUAUAGUAGGCGAAGCUCAUAGUUAUAGUCAGAUGGCAUGUACGAGGCUAGGGAUAAAUUCGAAUUAUGGAAUCAAAUUUGGAUAGCUCUACUUAGAGCAGUUCCAGUGUAUUAAAAAAAUUGAAUCGUGGAUGUGGAAAACCGAACUGAAUACACUGUGAACAUCGGACAGUGCAGCUAAAAAUUGCACUCCGCAAACGUCCACAUCACCAUUGCCGGUCACUCAUCACGCCUUCACACGCCGACGAGCUGCACCCGGAGGUCCUCUGAUGAAGCCUGCCGGUCACUACAUGCAGGGCACGGCAGAAGCAGUAGGCCUGGAGAUCUCAGCGGUGUGUGCUGAGAUGGAGUAGAGUAUCCCCAGUCACUUAAUAAUUUUUGUGAAUAGGACCAUUCUAAUAUCUCUUUCGUUAUUAUUGGAAGAGUUAUUUUUGGAAGAGUCAGAGCAACUUCAAAAACUUUCUUAAAUUACCCUUAAUACCUCAAUUAGGGAGAAAAAAUAACCUCCAACAGCUUCAAAAAACCCCGCAAACAUACAACGACUUCAUAUCCCGGCUUCCUCGCUCCGCAUGUUUCCACCAGCUCUCGGCACUCGCAAUCCGUGAUUUUUUUCCCGCAAGAGGCGACGUGGCACGUCGUUAUUUUUCUCCCCAUGAAAAAGUCACUCGUUUUCUUUUUUCUCACCAUGAAAACGUCGCUAGUUUUAUUCUCCCACACGAACAUCCUUUCCUACGGACAAAAAAGUCGUUGGUUUUCCUUUCACGGUGGAGAGUGCCCCCGCAAAUGGAUAAUGUCUAGCACUUAAAGUUUUUAGCAACUUUUUUCUAGGUACUCUUGGAGGAGAGGAACUUUUUAGCUCCCAAUAUUUUUUAGAAAGGUCCCCGGUUUUUGGAAGUCUAUUUUUUGCACUCUUGGAGAUACUCUCACAACUCCUUUAUUUGGGAAGACUUGGGAUGCAUUAUUGGUUUGUCCAAUAAUUAUUGGAAAUAAAGCAAAGAUUAAGGGAGUCUGUUGGAGCACUAUUUUUCAACGACUCUACCAAUAUGAUACGUGGAUUGGGGAACGGGGAUGAUCUGUUGGAGAUACUUUUAAACAAUCACGACUAAAAAAAUGACCUUUCGUCCACUUCCUUAGUAUCGAUCACAUUUUAACCCGAUACUAAUUGUCGUUGUCAAGAUUAGCGGGUCAAGACUUAGACUAGUAAAUUUCUUUUAUGCGCGUGAGGCUUGAGAUGGUGGCGUGAGAGACACGGGGUUUAUACUAGUUCAGGUAAAGGAAAUACCCUACGUCCAGUGUUAGGAGCUGCUCGUGUUGCCCACGUGGGGUUCUGUAGUAGGGGUUACAGAAGUGCGAGAGAGGGAACUGGUCCCAGGUCUCUUGGGUGUGCACUGAUGCUCUAGAAGGGUGUGUGUGUGUUCUGUUGGCUUGGAAGCGUUGUGGUGCUUUUUGUUGUCCUUCCAGCCCCCCUGUCUCAGGCCCCCGAUUCCCCUUUUAUAGCGUAAGGAGACCACCGGGGUUACAGGCGAGACCGAGUAUGGGGAGAAGUAAAGAGAUAAAUAUAGCUAGGUAAAAAAUACAACACGAAAAGGGGGGAAACAAGUUCCCAGGUCACCGGCGUCCUUGCCGGCCUUCGACUUCCGCCGGCGCGUUUGCCGGAGGAGGGUGGCUGCCGUCGCGUCCUGUUGAUGGCUUCCUUGGCAACUGUAGCCGCCGGGCGUGAUGAUGGCAUUUCGCCGUGACCCUCGUGUCCGUUGGGGGAUACGGUGGAUCCCGCCAUCCUACUGACGGCCCGCGGAGCGCGGACAUCGCAUCCCUGCCGUCGGGCACGCGGGGCACGAGAACAGGCGAGGCUUCCCCCUGCUCCGGGCGGCGCAGGCCAUGAGUGCCCUGUGGCGAAUGGGUGGAGGCCGCAGCUACUGUAGCUUGUACAGUGCGAUCGUGCAUGGGUACUUGCAGCAGGUUGCGUGAGGGGCGCGGGCAUCCUUCUUCCUGACAGACCUACGACGCAUUUAUGGCGAGAUCGACAGGGGGACCCACGAGAUCUGCGCCCGAGGCGGAUACUCGUCUGGUGGGCUCGGGUCAGCCCGACCCCCUACGCUUGGGGUCAGGUGAGGCGGAGACCUGCGGCGGGGGGUCGGACGCUCCCGACCCCAGACCUGCGGUCGGGCGAGGCGGAGCUUGGUCUUCCAGAUGCCUGACCCCGGGAUGCAGGGUCGGGGAGGCGGAGCGUGAUUCUCGCCCCCCGUGUUGGGCUGGAGGCAGGCUUGUUACCUUAAGUGGGCCUGGACCUUUACAUUUUGUUGUUUCCAUGGGCUUGGGGAAAUCGUUAAUAUUUCCCCCCAACAGUAGCCCCCGAGCCUAUGGUGGAGCGGGGAUGCUCCUCCAGAGGCUGCUGUCAUCGCCUGUAUGGGAUCCUUGCAGUUGAUCCGGGACGGGAGGUGUUGUUUGGAUGGCUUGACCGAGGGGGUCAAUUAGGCGACGCAUCCUGUGAGCGACUCGGCGCGGGAGGACUUCUUGUCAUUCCCUUCCGCCUGCGAGCCUUAAGUCAAGACCACCCGCGUGGCCUUUGGUUGCGAGGCCAUCCCCGAGCCCCUGCGCAUUGCAGGGACCGGUCGGAGGCUAGGUCGACUUUUGUUCGUUACCCUUCAAGCGUUCGUUCGCUAGGACAGAGGGGGCGAGCCGUGCCACGCUAUCCUCGUCAGACAAUCCGUGGUGCUCGUUGAGCUACUAACGAGUUGAUUCGAGUGGGAUCCAGGUCCCCGUUCGGGGGGGUGCGGCUUGGGCCAAGCUGGUGGCGUACCCCAGGCUCCGGUCAGCCAGUUCAUAUAGUUUCCGAGUCCGUUCGGUUGGAUCCGGGGGCUCGUUGCCUUUCUUCGGGGAAAAACCAUGAACUUUGAUGCCGGUCCGGACUCAAAUGUGAGAUUGAGAUGCCCUGGGCUGUCGCGUGUCCGGGUGAUGGUCGCUAGCGGACCCGUCUCUUCUCACCCCUCGCUCGGGGGUACCCUGAGGCGGCUGUCGAACCCGUGGUGGGCCAGCCUUCGAACCUCUGGAUCGUAAUGGGCCGUAGGGGCAUUUUCAGCCCCGUAUCCCUUUUUACCUUUUGAUGGGCCUUGGGCCGAAUCGUAGCGGAGGUCGCGUCUCGGGCCGGACGUGGAGGAUGUUGUGUCUUGGGCCGGACGUGGGAGACGUCGUGUGCGUGUCUUCCGGGAGACAAAGUGGUGGAGGGCGCCGACCCGCGAAUCGAGGGAGGAGGGGAUGUUUCCGCUGUAGAUCGUGCGCACAGUUUCCGAAAAGGGAGCGGGCGUGACGGGGAUGUACCUGGUGCUGCAUUUAUUGCGAUAGGGGCGUCUGUUCUACUUCCCUCGCGCCUUCUCUAUAAAAUGAGAACUUCGCCUCGCUGGUUCCACCCGCCAUCUGCCUUCAAGCCUUUUCGUCUCCUCGCACGCCCUUAGCUUUUCUGCGCCCGCUUCGUCUUCCUCCGCCCAAUGCCGCACCCUUUCUCCCCAUCCUCCGUCGAGUUCUUCUCCCUCCGGCGAUGGGAUCCUGGGCGCGUUCCCACUUCGGCCCCACGCGCGCCGAAGGCCUAGUGAGGAAAGGCCUCCUCUGCGAGAGGACGGAGGUGGACGAGUGGGAGCUUCCGGGGAUGGAAGAGGUGCCGACGCUGCCCGCCGGCUAUGUCGUCUCCUUCGCCCACUUCCACGAGAGGUGGUUCGCGACUCCUGCAUUACUACGGGCUUGAGCUGCAGCACCUCAACCCCAAUGGGAUUAAGCACAUCGCGGUGUUCGUCGCGCUGUGCGAGGGGUUCCUAGGCAUCGAGCCCAACUUCUCGCUGUGGAAGUAUUUCUUCACGGUCAGCCUGUACCAGAAGGCCGAGAAGAAGGGGAGCCAGCAGCGGUCGUCCCCGGUGCCGAUAGGGUGCGCCGGUUUCCACCUCCACCUUACUCGCGCCAAGGAGUACAUGACGAUGAAGACCGCGAUCUCCCACAAGGGGUGGCACCAGCAGUGGUUCUACGUGAAGAACUAGUCCAACUCCCUCUUGCCGGAGUUCACCGGCCGCAUUAUUGAGGCGGCGCCGGAUGUGUAGGCGUACGGCCCGGUGGAAAAGGAGAAGAAGCGGAUCUCCGGGCUGCUGCAGGCCAUCAAGCACCUGAAGGGGAGGGGACUGACCAGAGCCGGAGUCAUCGGGGCGUACCACGCCCAGCGGGUGGCACCGCUGAUGCUCCGGGUCCGCUCGCUUGCCUAUAUGACCCCCGGUGCUCCGACCGAUGGCACCGUCCUCGCGACGGGCGCGCUCGCCGCCUCUGAGAUCCGGCAGCGGAUCCGGGAGGCGCUGGAGGACAAGGACGCAGAUUACCCGGUGCCGGGCCACCGUCUGGUGCGCCCGGACGAGAAUUUCAUCGACCUGGUAAGGAUUUUGUGCACCCAUUUCCCUUUCUCGUGUUUCUUGGUCCGCCGUUCUAACGCGGGGCGUUUUUUGUUUGUAGGGUAGCAUGACCCGGGUCGUCGACUCACGCCCGCCGGUGCCGGAGGACGCCGAGUGGUGGCGGCAGAACCGUCUCCUUGCCGAGAAGCAAAAGCAACGCAAGGACAAGGAGAUGGCGAAGAAGAAGAAGAGGGCCGCCAAGGAGUUCCAACGGCGGCGGCGGGGACAGGUCGUGUCGGAUGACGACGAUGACGACGAUGAAGAGGAGGAGGAGGAUGACGAGGAGGAGGAGGAGGAAUUUAUCCUGUCCCCCCGGCCGGGCGUGCUUGUUAUCUGGGAGGCGCGCUCCCAAACGGCCACGGGGGAUGAGGUGAGCAAGCCGCCUGCCCGGGACCCGGCCCCGCAGAGUUCUGGGGCCGCACCCCAGGGGUCGGCGCGGAGCGCCCCCAGGAGGUUGGCGGAGCCGACCCCUGUCCCUGCGCCUACGGCCCAGGAGCAGAGGAGUGGUGAUAAGCGGCCGUUGCCGGAUACCCCGGGGUCGGCGUCCGGCCCGGAGGCGAAGCGCGCGCGCCGCCCUUGCGCUGGGGGAACGUGAGUUGAAUUUCCUUGGGAAUCUCAUUCCUUUCCAUACAUUGUGUCUGUUUCCCUUGAUGUUGUUUGUUGUUUCGCAGUGCCGCCCCUCGAGGCCUCGUCCCACCGCUGGCGCCCAAGAAGGCACUGCGGGUGCUGCCCGCCUCUGCGGGGCGGACCGCGGCUCCGCCGGCGGCGAGCGGCGGGGUCACCGGCGAGACCGCGGGUCCUUCCGCGGAGGUGGCUCCUGCGGCGGUAUCUGGUGGAGUGGUGCCACCGCCGAGCACGGGAUAGGGUCUGGCCCCGGCUCCGUCCUCCGCCCCUUCGGCCGACCCCACGGUGUAGAUUGUUGCGCCUGGGUGUCCUCCAUCCGGGGAGGUGAUUGACCUCGACGCCGACGAGGGGGAGGAAACGGCGGCGGUGGAGACGGGGCGGUUGCCCUAGCGGCCGCGACGGGGACGGCGUCAGCGAUGGGGGAAGGAGAGUCUAUCCCCGCUGCCAUGGUGGGGCGGCGGCGAUGGAAGGGGGGAAGACGCCCGCCCCGGCGGCUGCGACGGAGGAGGAGGCGGUGACGGUGACGGGGACUUCCGCCCGGGGAGCCACAGCGGAGGUAGCAGCGGCGGCGGAGGUAGAAGUGCCUGCUCCGGAGGCCGUGACGGGGGCGGGGACGCCUGCCCUGACAGCCGCGACAGAGGGCGAGGUGGCCACAGGAACACCUCCUCCGGCACCUGCGUCGGAGGCGGUGGCGCCGACGGGCGGGCCCGCGGCGGCCUCGACGGGGAUGGGGGUGCGUGUGCCGAGACCGUCCGUGAGCCCGGCGGCUUCCGGGAUGGUGGUGCCCGUCUUGACGGGGUCAUCGGGGUCGGCCCCCGCCCGUGCCUAGACCACUUCCGUUCCCAAGGCGUGGAGCGGGUUCGUCCUGCGUUGGUCGUCUCGUGACAACCCGCAGAGACCCCUCUUUACGUUGGACGACGCCACGGAAUGGGGAAAGUGGCAGGCGCUGCUGGGCGGACUCGUUAACAUCCGCGUGGCUCUGUCUUCGGCGUUGGGGGAGCUGGACGGCGUCGUCUUCCCCGGUGGCCAGGUAUGGUAUUUUCUCUAUUGACGGUUGCUUUCCUCCCGUUGCUUUACCCCUGAUGGCGUACUGUCUUGCAGGCUCUCCAAGAAUGCAGCUGAGGAAAAUUCGAUUUCCUCCAGCUCGAGCGGGGGCUCUGGGAGCGCUUCAACUUGGAGAGGCAGCGGACCGGGGAGCUGACCAUGUAGGUCGCCGCCGCCCAGCAGGUCAUCGACGACCUGCGGAGGCGCGAACACGCGGCAGGCGGAGGCCAAGUUCCAGGUCAUCGCUGAGAGGGCUCGCUGUGAUCGCGAGGAGUUCCAAGCAGCUACCGAAAAGGCCCAUCACAACGCCGAGGAGCUCGCGCGGCUGAAGGGGGAGCAUGAGGCCCUUCAGAAGACCAUCGAGCGCAUCCGGCGCGAGCAGCAGAAGGCCUGGCAGGACCGGGACGCCGAGAAGGUCCGGAAGGAGGAGGCCGAGAAGGUGGUGGCCAACCUUGGGGCAGAGGUUAGCCAGCUCCAAGUGCAAGCGCGGGAGCUUCAGGCCUCCGUGGCCCAGGGGCUCGACCGGGAGCGCCAGCUGAAGGCCCAAUCCAAAGGUAUGACCCUGUUUAUUCCUUCGUCUUUGUGAUGUCAUGGUGAUUUUUGAUUUGGCGGGUCCUUCUGGGUGGUCCUUGCAGGCGAGCUCUCCCGGCUGAGGGAGUUGCUUGACGUGGAGCGCGGUGAACACGGCGACCUGCGGGAUGCUGUUCGCGUCGUCUGCGACGGCCUCGGCGUGGUCCAGGGGGAGGGGACGAGUUCGCUGGUGACUUGCGUCCUUGGGACGUACCGCCGGGCCCGCGAAAUUGCCGUGGUAGCGCUCCACACCGGCGUGAGGCGAGCCUUCGGGGUCUUCGGCUCCCACUGCUCUGGCAUCAACUUCGCCGGGAUGAGCGGGGGGUACGCCGCCGGCUACUCCAAGGCUGAGCUGGACAAGAUCGACGCGUCGGUGCUCAACCCGGCGGAGGCCUUGGUGAAGCUCCUGGAGGAUGAAGCCAUCCCUCCCGAAGAUCCCCGAACGAGUUAACUGUAUCGGGCUGGCGCCCAAGAUGUAAAUACGUUAAUGUCAGACUUAUUUUGUGGUGGCCACAGGGGCUUUUUCUAUGGAUUGUUGUAAAAGAGUUUUCGAUUCCCUUUCUUGUUUUUUGGACUUGGAAAGUUUAGAGCGCGUUGUCGGGUGUGUCAGUAAGCUUUGCUGAGUGAAGGCACCGUAGCCGCUGGGACGUAGGUUUUUCGCAGUCCGAUCAAUCUUACCUGAACACCGUUGGUGCACUUUCUCCUUUUCAUGCCCAAAAGUUUAGAAAGGGGGUCAGCUCGGAAAGAGAAAGUGUUUUGAGAGGGUGUCAAGUGGCCUAGGGCGGAGCCCCUGAUAGCCCCCGAGGGAUGUGCGGCCCUGAGGCAGAGCCAGGGUCGGAUAUCCCUGAGUUUGAAGUGAAACUUGAAUGGAACCGACUCAAAAUUCUUUUUUCCGUAAAAUUUUCAGAUGUACGGAAGUAUCUAUGUACAAAACUUGGAAAUGAAAGCUAGGGGUAUAAACGUCUUACCUGUUUUAUGUUCCAAGCAUUGCUGAAGGUCUGUCCAUCGGGAGUCGCCAGCUUGUAGGUGCCUGGCCGCAGUACCUGCACGAUGAUGAAGGGACCUUCCCACGGAGGGGUCAGCUUGUGUCGACCCCUGUUGUCCUGGACGAGAUGGAGUACCAGGUCGCCGACGUUAAAGGCUCAGUCCUGCACCUUGCGGCUGUGGUAGCGUCGUAAGGCCUGCUGGUACUUGGCCAAGUGCAGUAAGGCCACAUCGCGUGCUUCAUCGAGCUGAUCUUGUGCGUCUUCGAGCGAUGCUUGGUUCCCUUGUUCGUCAUAUGCCCUGACCCUCGGCGAUCCGUACUCCAGAUCGGUGGGCAGGAUGGCCUCGGAUCCGUAUACCAUGAAGAAUGGGGUGAAGCCAGUCGCCCGACUGGGGGUUGUCCUCAGACUCCAAAGGACUGCGGGAAGCUCUGCGACCCACCGGUCGCCGAACUUUUUGAGGCGGUCGAAGAUCCGUGGCUUGAGACCCUGGAGUAUCAUGCCGUUGGCUCGUUCAACCUGCCCGUUCGUGCGGGGAUGUGCCACGGCCGACCAGUCCACUCGGAUGUGGUGGUCGUCGCAGAAUUGGAGAAACCUCUUUCCAGUGAACUGCGUGCCGUUGUCCGUGAUGAUGGAGUUGGGGAUUCCGAAACGAUGGAUGAUGUUGGUGAAGAACUGCACUGCCUGCUCGGACUUGAUUUGCGCAAUCGGUCGUGCUUCGAUCCACUUGGAGAACUUGUCGAUGGUGACAAGCAGGUGGGUGAAGCCCCCGGGCGCUUUCUUGAAUGGCCCGACGAGAUCCAGCCCCCAGACCACGAAGGGCCACGUGAUGGGGAUGGUCUGGAGCGCUUGCGCGGGCAGAUGAGUUUGGCGCGUGAAGAAUUGGCACCCUUCGCAGGUGCGGACCACGUGGGUGGCAUCGGCGACCACCGUGGGCCAGUAGAAACCCUGCCGGAAGGCAUUGCCAACGAGGGUUCUUGGCGUGGCGUGGUGGCCGCAGGCUCCGGCGUGGAUGUCCUGGAUCAGCUCCUUUCCCUGCUCGAUUGGGAUGCAACGCUGGAGGAUGCCGAUGUGGCUUCUAUUGUGGAGCUCCUGGUUGAUGAUGACGAAGGAUUUAGUGUGGCGCGCGAUCCUGCGCGCCUCCAUCUUGGUCGUAGGGAGCGUGUCGCGGACGAGGUAGUCGAGGUACGGGGUUCUCUAGUUGAGCGGGGGGUCAGGCCCCGCUGCUGGGUCUGCAUCGAUUUUCAUGACCUCGGGGUCAGCCUCCGAGUCCGCGGCAGGCGAGGCGUUGCCGACCCUGGUGGGCGGCGCGUCGCUGACCUCUCCCGGGUCAGGGCCCGAGUUCAGGACAGGUGGCGCGUUGCCGACCGCCUCCAGCUCUUGGGAGCGGAUUGAGGGCUUGAGUUGGUCGCUGACAAAAAUACCGUCGGGUACGGGUUUUCAUCCGGACGCUGCCUUCGCCAACUCGUCGGCUGCGUCAUUGAAACGCCUUGCGACAUGGUUGAGCUCUAGUCCAUCGAACUUGUCUUCAAGCUUGCGAACUUCGUUGCAGUAAGCUGCCAUCUUGGGGUCGUGGCAGCUCCACUCCUUCAUGACUUGUUCAACGACCAGCUGAGAGUCGCCCUGGAUGUCCAGCCGCCGGAUGCCCAGCUCGAUAGCGAUGUGAAGCCCGUUGAGGAGGGCCUCGUACUCCGCAACAUUAUUAGAUGCAGGAAAGUGGAGGCGGAUCAUGUACCUCAUGCGCACGCCUAGAGGAGAGACGAAGACGAGGCCUGCUCCGGCGUGGGCCCUCAUCAGUGACCCAUCGAAGUACAUUGUCCAGCACUCCUCUUUUUCUGGGGCCGGUGGCGUCUGGAUCUUUGUCCACUCUGCUACAAAGUCGGCUAGUACCUGGGACUUGAUGACAGUGCGGGGAGCAUAGGUGAUGCCCUGGUCCAUGAGCUCAAGCGCCCACUUCGCAAUCCGUCCCGUGGCGUCCUGGUUUCGAAUCACUUCGCCGAGAGGGAACGACGAAACCACUGUUACCGGAUGGGAGGUGAAGUAGUAGCGCAGCUUCCUCUUCGUGAUGAGGAUGGCGUAGAUGUGCUUCUGGAUCUGCGGGUAGCGUGUCUUGGAUUCGGACAAGACCUCGCUGACGAAGUACACCGGGCGCUGCACCUUGAGGGAGUGUCCGUCCUCUUCUCGCUCCACCACCAGAGUCGCGCUAACCACCUGGGUGGUCGCUGCGAUGUAGAGCAGGAGGGGCUUGCCGUCGGUCGGCGGGACUAGGAUCGGGGCCUUCGUCAGGAGGUCCUUGAGCCGGUCAAGUGCCUCCUGGGCCUCGGCGGUCCACUCGAAGCGGUCGGUCUUCUUCAGGAGUCGGUAGAGAGGGAGCCCCCGCUCGCCAAGGCGCGAGAUGAAGCGGCUCAGAGCCGCCAAGCAUCCUGUGAUGCGCUGGACUCCUUUUAUAUUUCGGAUCGGCCCCAUGUCGCUGAUAGCCGCUAUCUUCUCCGGAUUGGCUUCGAUGCCGCGCACGGAGAUGAUAAAACCUAGCAGCAUGCCCCUUGGAACCCUGAAAACGCACUUUUCAGGAUUGAGCUUGAUGUGCUUGUCUCUUAGCCUUUCGAAGGCUAGUUUGAGGUCGGGGACGAGCUGGUUGCCUCUUUUGGACUUGACUACGAUGUCGUCGACGUAAGCCUCAACGGUCCGCCCGAUGAGGUCGCUGAAGCAUUUGAGCAUGCAUCGCUGGAACGUAGCCCCCGCGUUCUUGAGGCCGAAUGGCAUCUUAACGUAGCAAUAGGGGCCAAAGGGGGUGAUGAAAGAGGUAGAGAGCUGGCCGGACUCUUUCAUCGUGAUCUGAUGAUAGCCAGAAUACGCGUCGAGGAAGCUAAGGGUUUCGCACCCAGCGGUUGAGUCGACUAUCUGAUCUAUGCAUGGCAAAGGAAAUGGAUCCUUUGGGCACGCUUUGUUGAGACCAGUAUAAUCAACACACAUCCUCCAUUUCCCAUUCUUCUUUCGUACAAGAACAGGAUUAGCUAGCCACUUGGGGUGGUGAACUUCCUUGAUGAAUCCAGCCACCAGAAGCUUCUGGAGCUCUUGCCGAUGGCCUUGCGCCUCUCCUCAUCGAAGCGGCGCAAGCCUUGCUUCACUGGCUUAGAACCAGCUUUGAUGUUCAAGGAGUGCUCGGCGACUUCCCUCGGAAUGCCGGGCAUGUCCGAGGGUUUCCACGCGAAAACGUCGCUGUUCGUGCGGAGGAAGUCGACGAGCGCACUUUCCUAUUUGGGGGACAGGGUAGCGCCGAUCCGCACGGUCCGACCAUCGGAGCUGCUGGGGUCGAGGAGCACCUCCUUGACGCCUUUGGUGGCCUCGAAGGAGGUGGCCGACUGCUUGGAGUCGGGCUGGUCCUCGGCGCCUUCCGCGAGUUGGACUGUUGAAUCUUUCGUGAAGGUGAUGGCUGCGGCGUACUUUCAGCAUUCUACUCGCACUCGUACGCCUUCUGGAAAGACGUGCCGACGGUGAUGACCCCAUUGGGCCCCGACAGCUUGAGCUUGAGGUAGGUGUAGUUGGGGAUGGCCAUGAACUUGGCGUAGCACGGUCACCCCAAGAUGGCAUGGUAGGUUCCACGGAAACCUACCACCUCGAAGGUGAGGACCUCCUUCCUGUAGUUGGAAGGGGUCCCAAAGGUGACGGGCAAGUCGAUUUGCCCGAGGGGCAUUGCCUGUUUCCCCAGCACGACGCCAUGGAACGGUGCCUUGCUGGGGCGGAGGCGGGAGCGAUCGAUCCCCAUGGCGUCGAGGGUCUCGGCGUAGAGGAUGUUGAGGCCGCUGCCUCCGUCCAUGAGCACCUUUGUGAGGCGCGUCGUGCUGACGACGGGGUCGACAACGAGGGGGUAGCGUCCUGGCUGCAGGACACGCCCUGGGUGGUCGGACCGGUCGAAGGUGAUGGCGGUUCCUGAUCAGUCGAGGAAGGCUGGUGUGGCAGGUUCGGCCGCGUAGACUUCGCGGCGCUCCAACUUCUGGCAGCGCUUGGAGUCGUAUGCCGCCGGGCCACCGAAGAUCAUGAAGCAGCCGUCCACCUUGGGGAAGCCAUCUUCCUUCUCUUCGCCAUCCUUCUUCUCCUCGUUGGGCUUCCACCUCUGGUCUCCCUUUACCGGGUCGCCUACAAAGUACCUCUUCAUGAGGUUGCAGUCUUUGUAGGCAUGCUUCACGGGGAACUCGUGGUUCGGGCACGGUCCCUCAAGGAGCUUGUCGGAGAAGCCGGGGGUGCCUUCUGGGGGCGACUAUCCCCGUUUGCGCUCGACAGCAGCCAUGAGGGGUGGCUUGCGCCGCUGCUUGUUUUUCUUCUUUUGUUGACGGUUGGAGGUGCCUUCGUCGGCAUCCUCCUCCCGCUUUGCUUUGCCCUUGGAACGAUCGAAGAUUGCCUCGACAGCCUCUUCGCCCGAGGCGAAGCUGCUGGCGAUGUCGAGGAGCUCCUCCGUGGUGCGCGGGCCUCGACGCCCCAGCUCGUGGAUGAGGGGUCGGCAGGAGGUUCUUGGUAGAAAAGCCCCUAUGACAUCGGCGUCCGCGACGUUGGACAGCUCGGUGCGCUUCCGAGAGAAGCAUCUGAUGUAGUCCUGGAGGGACUCAUCUGACCCCUGGCGGCAGCUCCGGAGGUCCCAGGAAUUGCCAGGGCAUGCAUACAUGCCCUGGAAGUUUCCCACGAAUAUCUCCUUCAGGUCGUUCCAGCUGCGGAUCCGUCCCGAAGGGAUAUGUUCUAGCCAGGCUCGCGCUGAGUCGGCCAGAAAGAGCGGUAGAAUGCGGAUGAUGAACAGGUCAUCGUCCGCCCCACCGGCCUGGCAUGCAAGCCGGUCAUCGCUGAGCCAUAGUCCGGGGUUUGUGUCCCCCGAGUAUUUGGCCACAUUCGUUGGUUGCAUAAAGCGCGGUGGGAACGGCGCGUUCAGGAUGCGCGCGGAGAAGGCCCGGGGCCCCGCCGGGUCGGGGCUUGGGCUGCGGUCUUCCCCGCUGUCGUAGUGGCCACCGCGGUGGACAUGGUAGCCGCGAUCGGCCCCCUCCUCCCUGUCCGCGCGGGAGCGCCUCCGCGCGUCUAGGGUGUCGCGGGUGUCACGGAUGGGACCGACGCGCCGGUGAACGGACUGAGCCCCGCCUCCUGCAGGUGGUGGUGUCCGUCGAGCGGGCGCGGCCUGGUUCGCCCUAGGUGGAGGCUGAUAAACGGAUUCGCCCCGCCUCUCCGGGGGUACAGUGGGUGCUGCCCUGCUAUCGUUCUGCCCGCGUCACCGGGACGCGGAACUUUCCGCCUGCUGGACAGCGGUGCACUCGAGUAGGUUUUGCACCUCCUGGCGCGCCUGACUGUGACGGAACAACCUCGGAUUAACUUAACUAAAGCACGAUUAAGCCGCUUGACAUGCGACACUCAUGCCUUAAUCAAGUUAACUCGAUGUGCCGUCGGAUUUCAUCCGAUUUAACCACUUAACAGGACCGAGUUAGCAUGACCCACACGAAGGUGAGUGGUUCAAGAGAAUACAACAGAUCCACCAUUAGAUUAACAAGUGGUUACACACUUGGUUAUAAAUCAGAGUUCUACAAGUUCUGAAGAAAACAACAGACGAUAAAAACAAGCGGAAGCUACUCGUCGGGGUCGGACGUCCCUGGUGAGGCCAGCCAGGACAUCAGUGAUCCCAUUCCCCACCGUCCGAGGAAGGAUCCCACUCGACCGUCCAACCCGGAGGGAGUUAGGGCGGCCAAGAGCCAACAACAAGCUCAGAAGCUGCAACUUCACCUGAAAAGAGGAGCCACAAACAAGGCUGAGGUUCUAAGCUCAACAAGACUUAACCGCCCGGUGGGAAAAACUACUCCACCACUUCUAGACAUGCAAGGCUCUUUGGCUGAGGGGUUUGUUUGCCAAAAGCGACUAUGUUAGGUCCUUGCUUUCAAGUUUUAGCUCAAAUUCUAAGUUCAUUAACCAGUCUACAUUUGCAUCUUACUCUAAGCAAACAUAGAUCCAACUUUAUGUAUAUAAGCUACUCAUCAAGACCAUGUCAUCAUCAGACUCUUUCAUUACUCAGUGUAGCAUAGCGAUCAAGCAGUCUCAAACUGUGAGAGGCAGAUGAAUCGAUUCGAGUUCUUUAACCAUGCAUGGUGAACCUAACCUCACGACAUCCGCGCACCACCGAGGGUCGCUUCCUGUGUCGGCCUUCCCCAUCAAUUCCCUAACCCGUGUCGGGCCCACUCCCUUUGGUGCAAGGUUCCACAGACCCGGCCUCUGCCGUUCUGUGACCACACUUGCCACCACGUGCGGCUGCAGGGGAACUUCGUUCCAAGGACAGUGGGAUGACCGCUCACGUCUAGGUUCAAUCAGGUACUAGGCUUCCCCAUCCCAUACUGAGUAUGAGCUUAGUACUUUCAAACACUUGAUCACGAACACCACCACUGUCGGGUCUUAACAGAUUCCAUAGACAGACGGGGCGAUCAGCCGACCACCAAAAGAGUUAACCAAAACCCUGCCCCGUCCAUCGUCCUUAUAGUUGUAACAGAAGGGGAAAAACAACCAACUCCUAUAGCUCGCGAGUGACAGGGAAUCACUCGGCUUUUACCGAUUCCUAUUUAAGGAUAGCAACUACUCAGCCCAAUAAACUAGUGUUCAGAUCACAGGAACUACGCCCAACAAACGAGGCGUUGCAGAAAGGGUUGCAGAGGGGCUUCCGCUGCGAUUGGGGAGGAGGGCGUGGGAAUCCAUUCUGUCGCGGCCGACGACUAGGCGAAGCGGCGGGCGUCGGAGGGAUUAAGCCACGCGGCGGGGAAGCUCUGAAGCGGCGCAUGCUGCGCGGGUGCGUUUGCCUCGGAAGAUCCGGGGAAAAGAUUUGCGGGUCCACCGGUCAGUCUCGGUUGUUCCACAGCUCCAAGAUUGAAAGGAACACCGCCGUUUGAGAUUUAGAAAGAACCGGUGUUUCUGGUUGGGUUUCCAGGGGUGGGGACCGGAAACUGGAGGUUGAGCACUUAAGCUCAGGGGAGCUGAGUCAGCGGAAAUUAGGGACUCAGAUUAGGAUUAACUCGGCUGAUUAAACCAGGGUCGUUACAGCCUACCCCCCUUAAAAAGAAUCUCGUCCCGAGAUUUGGGUGUAAGGGUAACCAAUGGGGGUGUGCAGUCCUUACCUCCUUGGCUGGAAAGAAAACCUCGGAAAUAUUUGUUCAGAUACUCUUCUGUUUCCCAGGUUGCUUCUUCUUUUGUGUGGUGGUUCCAUAGUAUCUUGUACAUUUUUACUUUUUGCCGUCGGGUAUGUCUUUUCUUUUGGUCGAGGACCUUGGCUGGAUACUCAGUGUAACUUAGGUUGGACUCAAUUUUAAGCUGCUCCUGCUCCAAGACCUCAGUUGGGACUUGGACAAACUUCUUCAGUUGGGAUACAUGGAAAACAUCAUGUAUGGCCGAAAGCUGUUCUGGGAGUUGGAUCCGGUAAGCAACGGGUCCACAAAUUUCCACAAUCUCAUCAGGGCCAAUGUAACAGGGAGCCAAUUUUCCUUUUACUCCAAACCGUUGCACUCCUUUGGUCGGGGAGACUCGAAGAUAUACGUGAUCACCAAUAUCAAACUACAGGGGUCUCCUUCUCCUAUCGGAGUAGCUUUUCAGUCGGGAUUGGGUGGCCUUGAGAUUUGCUUGAAUUAUCUUCACUUGCUCUUUGGCUUCUACUACUAGAUCGGGACCAUAGGUUUGUCUUUCUCCAUCUUGUGACCAAUUCAAAGGUGUCCGACAUUUCCGACCAUAUAGGGCUUCAAAUGGUGCCAUCUUCAAACUAGUCUGGUAGCUGUUGUUGUAGGAAAACUCUGCUAAGGGUAAGCACUGAUCCCAAUUCUUAUCAUAAUGGAUGACACAAGCUCUCAACAUGUCUUCAAGGAUCUGAUUUACCCUUUCGGUUUGACCAUCGGUUUGAGGGUGAUAAGUAGAGCUACGAAUGAGCUUGGUGCCUAGUGAUGCUUGUAGCUGUUCCCAAAAACGCGCUACAAACUGAACACCCCGAUCAGAUAUGAUCGUCCUAGGCACACCGUGCAGAGAAACAAUGCGGUCAAGAUACAACUCCGCAUAUUUCCUGGUCAUGUAGGUGGUGUGAACCGGAAGAAAGUGGGCGGACUUGGUAAGGCGAUCUACAAUCACCCAGAUGGAGUCAUGUCGCUGCGAUGUAAGGGGCAAUCCAACAAUGAAGUCCAUACUGAUGUCUUCCCAUUUCCAAGAGGGAAUAGGUAGGGGCUGCAGGGUACCUGCUACCUUUAAAUGGCUGGCUUUGACACGUUGACAGGUGUCACAUUCUGAAACAUAUCGUGCAAUCUCUGGCUUCAUUCCACUCCACCAGAAGAUUUGACGGAGAUCAUGAUACAUCUUAUUGCUGCCAGGAUGGAUUGAGAACUUGGAGAGAUAAGCUUCAUCUAGGAUUUGCUUUCUCAGAUUGGGGUCAGAUGGUACAACAAGUCGAUUUCCAUAAUACACUCUCCCAUUCUCAUUCUGUCGGAAUUGCUUAUACCCUUCAUCCUUCAAUGAAAUCUUCCUUUUGAUCCGCCUUAUUUCCUCAUCCUCUAACUGUGCUAACCCAAUUUGGUCCUCUAACACAGACUCAAGGGAUAUAUGGUCGAGGGUUCCAUGGGAAACAAUUUCCAAACUGAGCUUUCCCAUCUCUUGGCACAGAGUCUCCGUGAAGUUGGUUGCCAUCAAGCAAUUGCAAUGAGUCCUGCGGCUAAGAGCAUCGGCCACCACGUUGGCCUUGCCGGGGUGAUAAUGCACUUUCAAAUCAUAAUCCUUUAUCAACUCCAACCAUCUUCUCUGGCGCAUGUUGAGGUCGGCCUGAGUGAAGAUAUACUUGAGGCUCUUGUGAUCGGUGUAGAUGUUACAGCGGGUGCCCAUCAAAUAGUGCCUCCAUAUCUUUAAGGCAUGAAUCACUGCUGCCAACUCAAGAUCAUGGGUCGGAUAGUUCAGCUCAUGAGGUCGUAACGCCCGUGAGGGAUAGGCAAUGACUCGGUUGUCUUGCAUAAGAACACACCCAAGUCCAGUGCCAGAGGCGUCAUAGUAUACGUCAAACGGCCUAGAAGGGUCGGGUUGAGCCAAAACCGGGGCUGAGGUUAGCAAGUGUUUCAAGGUGUUGAAGGCUUCUUCACACUUGUCGUUCCACACAAAUUUGGCUUCUUUCUUAGGCAGCUCAGUCAUCAGUUUAGCUAUCUUGGAGAAAUCCGGAAUGAAGCGCCGAUAGUAGCCUGCUAAUCCAAGAAAACUUCGGAUCUGGUGAACUGAAGUGGGUGGCUUUCAGUCCAUGAAUUCCUGUACCUUGCUGGGGUCAACUGCUAUGCCAUCCCGAGAGAUGGUGUGUCCCAAGAACUUGACAUUCUCUAACCAAAACUCACACUUGGAGAAUUUGGCAUAGAGCUGAUAAUCUCUCAACCGUUGAAGAACCACACGAAGAUGAUCGGCAUGUUCUUCUUCACUCUUGGAGUACACCAGAAUAUCAUCAGUGAACACCACCACGAACUUGUCCAGUUCGGGCAUGAACACCGAAUUCAUGAGAUACAUGAAAUAGGUGGGUGCAUUGGUGAGUCCAAAAGACAUAACUAGGUACUCGUAGAGUCCAUAUCUUGUGGAGAAAGCAGUUUUGGGAAUAUCACAGGGUCUGAUCUUGAUUUGGUGAUAACCGGAACGAAGAUCGAUCUUGGAGAACACUCUGGCUCCAGCUAAUUUAUCAAACAAGACAUCGAUGCGGGGAAGUGGAUACUUGUUCUUGACAGUCAACGCAUUGAGAGGUCGGUAGUCCACACACAUGCGUAGACUUUCAUCCUUCUUCUUCACAAACAAGGCUGGGCAACCCCAGGGUGAAGUACUAGGUCGGAUGAAGCCUUUCUCCAACAGAUCAUGAAACUGGGUUUUUAACUCGGCCAGCUCAGCGAGUGGCAUCCAAUAGGGUCUCUUGGAUAUCGGAGCGGUGUCAGGCUGCAGUUCAAUGGCGAACUCGAUAUCUCUGUCUGGCGGCAUGCCAGGUAAGUCAUCUGGAAACACAUCCGGGUACUCGCAGACAACAGGAAGGUUUUCUAUCCGGGCUUCUGAUAUAGGGUACGCGCAAGGAAUUGCGUACUCAGGGUGGGUCAAGGAUAGGGUAGAGCUGCCAUGAAAGGGUGAGUUGAUGUGGAGAGCUCGGGCAGCUGCAUCUAGGACCACUUGGUGUCGGGUCAUCCAAUUCAUCCCAAGGAUGAUAUCUAUUCCUUCUAGGUCAAGGAUGAUAAGAUUCUCCCUAAAAAGAGUUUGGUCUAGCUGGAUAGGUACAAGGGUAACUAUCUUGUCUGAGGCUAUCUUUCUUCCCAGAGUGGAGAUCACAUAUGAUCCUUUAGUGUGAUCGACACUCAGCUCACAUCUCUCUCUAGUCUUACUCCCGAUGAAGCUAUGGGAAGCUCCUGAAUCAAACAAAACCACAACAGUUUGAUUAAGGACAAGGAAGGUACCCAUCAUCACUGGCGCACCUUCGGGGAGCUCAGUCAAGCUGGUGUAGUUGAGCCGUCCUUGGCGAACUUGCACCUUAGGCCUUCUUCCUUUGUUCACCGUGGGGUUCUGGCCAGGCUGUUGAUUCUUGUUCCUAGGACAGUCCUUGGCAAAAUGCCCUUCAUUUCCGCAGGUGAAACAACGAUUGCUAUUCACAGGGCGCGCGGUGGUAAGGUCGGCCGGGGCGCCUGCGGUUGAAAACCAGGAAAACGAGGGGCCACUAGUGGUGGAGGGCGAGCAAUCCAUCAUCCCGAUUGUUGGGGCCUGUGGGGCAUCUGAGGGGGAACCAUCUUGAAUCUUCGAGCUGGCGGGCUCGGUAAUGCCACUGAGGCCUUUCUCUUCUGGUCAGCUUUAAGAGCCUGCAUGCAGUCCUCUUGAGAGAUGGCCAAAUUCACCAAUUCAUUGUAGGUAUCCACCUUGAUGGGGUUCAACCUCUCCUUGAGUUCCAGGCUCAAGCCUCUGCGGAACCUGUCCCUUUUCUUCUCGUCGGUAUCUGCAUGAUAGCCGGCAUAACGGCACAGGUCAUUGAAGGCUUGUGCAUAGUGUAAGAUGUCACGGCUUCCUUGGGUAAGGGCCAAGAACUCGUUGAGUUUGCAUUCUAGAAGACCUUCUGGAAUGUGAUGCCCUCUGAAAGCGGUCUUGAACUCGUUCCAGCUGACAGCAUGGUCGGCCAGCAACAUAGCAUGGUAGUGAUCCCACCAAAGCCGGGUGGAACCACGCAGCUGUUGAGCCGCGAACCGGGCUUUGUUCUGGUUGGGGCACGGGGCGGUGAGGAGUUCGAACUUGGAUUCAAUAGUACAAACCCAGGCAUCUGCAUCGAGCGGGUCUUCCAUCUUGUGGAAGGUCGGGGGCUGCGUGCUCAAGAAGUCCUCAUAACGAGCAACUUGAGGUUGUUGAUGAGCUCUCCCUCCAUGGGGCUGCUGUUGUUGUCCUUGUACAAUGUGCCUUAGCAGCUCAGUUUGAGCCGCUAGGAGGGCUUCCAGCGAGGGUGGGGGCGGAGGCGGAGGAAGAUCCUGCCUCUGCUCGCUACCGCUGGGCACAGAGCCAGAUCGGGUGCGGUGCGCCAUCUGCAAGAGCCAACGUUCCAUUAAUUCCAUAACCUCAGAAGUAUUCCAAUCAUGCGGGAACGUAUACUUUAAAUCCUCAAAAUGCGACUCUUGCCGAUAGUGCAACACAACAGCAUCUCUUAUUAAGGAGAUACACACUUCCUCCUGCCAUCUUAGUUAGCCACUAUCUUAGUUCUGCACACAACUUCGGGCGAACCAAACCGUAUCCCAUGGGCUCCACUAUAUCCGACCUUAGGCCAAGGGGUCGGGCUAAGCGAAACGGUGCAACCAGGGGUCGGGCAAGGCGGAGACCGGCUCGAGGAGUCGAGCGCAUCCGACCUUGCAACUCGGGGUCGGCCAAGCUUUGGACAGACCCACAGAAAAUGGGUGUGUGGUCACAACACAAAACUCACACAACUUGGCAUCCAAAGCGUGUCGCAAAAAGGGUCAAAAGUCAAGUCAAGAUCUGAUUUCACUAAGAUCAUUUCAUUGUUGUUCCCCAAAACAUAGGAGGAAUACUCAACUCAAGACUAACCUAUCACAUCACUAUCCAAAACUUAGGUUGCCGAGGAGUACAACAAAAGAUUAGAUUCCCACAGCUCUCAACCUAUGAGGGAAUGCUAUGAGUCGGAGAAGGGGCGUCGUCCUCUUCCAUGUCCAUACUGGACGCUCCUAUUACCUCCGCAGGGUCUUCUUGUUCGUCCAGUUGCAUCUCAAGGGCAUGCAUGGCAUCGAGCUUGGCGUGGUGCUCGUCCAAAUGAGCAUUAGCAACUGCGAGCUCCAUCUCAACUUCCAUCUUCUCUUCGGCAAGCUCGAUCAUGCCAUCCACCAGGUAUGUCACUUCUCCCUCGAGUUCGUAGAUCCUGGCUUGCAUGUCAUGGAUCUAUAUGCCUCUCUAGAUGAGCUGAUAUGAUCAUCCCACCAAGUCUCUCUUGGCGGCGUUGAAAUGCCCUUGGGUGUCUAUGGCUAUCCGAGCCAAGACAGCCAUCGCUCGGCCUUGAACCUCAAUCAGCUGAUACAAGGCUGACAUGCAUCUGGUGGUGGUAGAGAUGGUCACCAGUGAAUGGGAGGUUGCCAACACCUCCAUGUUGUUGACGCGAUCAAGCCACGUGGGGUCUAACCGAUCCCUGGUGGGAAACAAGCUGAUUGGGUCUAAGGUGACCUCAAGCGGGUGUAACCGACAUAACUGGGUGAGGAUCUGCAGAGCAGCCGACUCCCAGGUGUCCUCCAGAGCGUGUCCGCAAGUCAAGACUUCGAGCGGGGGCCACUCGGGCUGCACAGGGGGUGGAGGUACAACCAGCUGCACGUUGCAUCUCGGCACUCUGUGCUCCUGGUACAUUCGUCCCACGUACAGAGGUGGGGACUGGUACCCGAACCACCUCAAGGUAUCUCACAGAAUAGCAGGAAAACCCUCAAAGUGUAGGCACGUAGAGUGGGAAACGCCGUCAGCGCCGUACAACACGUGUCCGGGGGCAGCCAUCUGAACCAAGAACCAAAACAACGUGAGAUAGAGACUCUAAGAAGAAGAACAGGUCGGGCAGAAAAGGUACUCGGAUUUUCGACCAGAGCGCAAGCUGGAAAGGAAGCUAGAAAUCCUUAAAGCGAAGAAGAACUUUUCCAAGGCAAGGUUGUUCUAGGGAGGUGAUUUCACAGAUUUUUUUUUCAUGCCGCAUGCACUGCCUACCUCGUUCUCUCAACCAAAACAACUGCCAAAACCCUUGGUCUUACACGGUCAGUGCCAGUGGCAAGGCAACCAGUACGUCUCUCCCUAUAAUAGCUAGUCGGUUUCUAGUAGCGUCUCCUAAGCGAACACGGUUAGGAUACCUGCAGAAAACACAGCCACCUGAACCUUUCAUGCCAGCACCCACGAAAGCAUCCCCAAGCAUUACCGUUCACUAUAGAAAUGACACCCAUGCGUUUAAAGCUGCAUGGACAGCACAACAACCGUGGAAACAGGCCCCCUUUGAAUGGAACCGUAUAACCCUUCGCAUGCUCGUGAUGCGGAAUCAGCGCACGUAUAAUAGACGUGGGCGAACAACCGUGAUGAUAGGCUCGUUGGAAUCGAACCAUACCACCCUUUGUAUGAGUUAACAUACGGAACCUCUGCACACGUGUGAUAGACGUGGGCGAAACAACCGCGAUGAUAGGGUCCCUUGAAUAGAACUCCCUAUCAACCCUCGCAUACUCGUGAUGCGGAACUCGGCACACGUAUGAUACACGUGGCGAAGUGCUGGGGGUUAGCAAGAUAACCAAUAAGUAAUAGCCACCUGAAGCAACCCAAAAUCCCCUAGGUCCUCUCGUGCUAAAGUCAUCCUUAACAAUCAUACGAGAUUUUUCAACAUUUUUCUUGCAAAUUUUAUUCAGAAAGAACGUGUUUUAGGACCCAUCGUGUUCUCUGUCCUGCUAAACCAGCUCUGAUACCAGCUGUGGUGGAACCACCUCGGAUUAACUUAACUAAAGCACGGUUAAGCCGCUUGACAUGCGACACUCAUGCCUUAAUCAAGUUAACUCGAUGUGCCGUCGGAUUUCAUCCGAUUUAACCACUUAACAGGACUGAGUUAGCAUGACCCACACGAAGGUGAGUGGUUCCAGAGAAUACAACAGAUUCACCAUUAGAUUAACAAGUGGUUACACACUUGGUUAUAAAUCAGAGUUCUACAAGUUCUGAAAAAAACAACAGACGAUAAAACAAGCGGAAGCUACUCGUCGGGGUCGGACGUCUCUGGUGAGGCCAGCCAGGACAUCAGUGAUCCCAUUCCCCACCGUCCGAGGAAGGAUCCCACUCGACCGUCCAACCCGGAGGGAGUUGGGGCGGCCAAGAGCCAACAACAAGCUCAGAAGCUGCAACUUCACCUGAAAAGAGAAGCCACAAACAAGGCUGAGCUUCUAAGCCCAACAAGACUUAACCGCCCGGUGGGAAAAACUACUCCACCACUUCUAGACAUGCAAGGCUCUUUGGCUGAGGGAUUUGUUUGCCAAAAGCGACUAUGUUAGGUCCUUGCUUUCAAGUUUUAGCUCAAAUUCUAAGUUCAUUAACCAGUCUACAUUUGCAUCUUACUCUAAGCAAACAUAGAUCCAACUUUAUGUAUAUAAGCUACUCAUCAAGACCAUGUCAUCAUCAGACUCUUUCAUUACUCAGUGUAGCAUAGCAAUCAAGCAGUCUCAAACUGUGAGAGGCAGAUGAAUCGAUUCGAGUUCUUUAACCAUGCAUGGUGAACCUAACCUCACGACAUCCGCGCACCACCGAGGGUCGCUUCCUGUGUCGGCCUUCCCCAUCAAUUCCCUAACCCGUGUCAGGCCCACUCCCUUUGGUGCAAGGUUCCACAGACCCGGCCUCUGCCGUUCUGUGACCACACUUACCACCACGUGCGGCUGCAGGGGAACUUCGUUCCAAGGACAGUGGGACGACCGCUCACGUCUAGGUUCAAUCAGGUACUAGGCUUCCCCAUCCCAUACUGAGUAUGAGGUUAGUACUUUCAAACACUUGAUCACGAACACCACCACUGUCGGGUCUUAACAGAUUCCAUAGACAGACGGGGCGAUCAGCCGACCACCAAAAGAGUUAACCAAAACCCUGCCCCGUCCAUCGUCCUUAUAGUUGUAACAGAAGCGGAAAAACAACCAACUCCUAUAGCUCGCGAGUGACAGGGAAUCACUCGGCUUUUACCGAUUCCUAUUUAAGCAUAGCAACUACUUGGCCCAACAAACUAGUGUUCAGAUCACAAGAACUACGGCAUGCAUCUAUGGUUGCAAACAACUCCUAUACGUAAAUGCACAAACACGAGAAGGAAGGCAUGUGCAAGUUUAGAAAUUUAGGGUUCAUGCUCCGGGGCUUGCCUUCAAGCGGAGGGGAGGGAAACUGUUCUUCAGCUGGGGCGGCUUCGGCUUCUGGGAUUUGCAGCUCAGCUACAGCUCCGUCUUCGGGCGUCGGGUGUAGCUCGUAGACGCCGUCAGCAAGAUGUAACCCUACACGAAUGCAAUGCAGGAGUUAGUGUUUAGACGGCUAUUUCAACAACACUUGCCGUUUAAGCUCGAACACUUGUAGCAAGGCUACAGAAAAGGUGGGGAAGUUUGCUUUAGUUGGUGGAGAGCAAGAUAAAAGGGUCGGAUGGGAAUAGACUUGUGGUCUGACCCUUAAGCUUUAAGGGAUAACUGUGUUCAGGGUCCUCAGACUUGACACAGAGAAAUCCCGAUCUUUUACACAGAUACCCUCGGGUCAAGGAAACAGAUACAGUCGAGUCCUCGGGCGAGGCGGAAAAGGGUCGGCGGAACAGACAGGGUCGGGCGAGACGGAAAGAGAGGUCGGGCGAACCGGAAAGGGGUCGGCAGCUUACCUUCGGUUUAUAGGUGAAGCUUGGGGUCGGGAAGGAGCAGACUUGGGCGGAAGGACUUAAGCACUAAGGCUUGGGUGGCGGCGAUGUCCGGCGGUGCUCUAGCGGCGGCGGAGCUUCUUGUGGGCAACAAGGAAGCUCUAGCACAGCGCGGAGGGGCAGACGGCUGGGUGGACUGGGGAGAAGCGGACUUGAGCGGAGAGGGGAACUUCUCAAGAGUUUUUAGUGGGAUUGCUCAAGUGUGCUCCGAGUAGGGGCGGUGAAAUAGCGAAGGCGAAGGAACUUCGGUGGAACUCUGGCAUUCCCUUUUUAUAGCUGCGCGGGAGAGAGAGUGUUGGAGCAGCACGAAGACCAGAAGAAAAGGAUGGAGUGCGCUGCCAUGGCGGCGAUUGAGCGGCGUAGGCGCAGUUUUGCCGGGGUUGAGAUUUGGCGGAGGCGGGCGUCGUCGAGCGGCGGAUUUGAUUGGUGUGACAGGGAGAAAGGUGCUGCAAGCGAGGUUGCAACAGGCGAAGUGAUAGGGCGAACAGUGUCGUGGUCGAGCACGAAACAGCGGCAUUGCCGGAGCACGGCACUGGUGGGGCGAGAAUAAGGAGCUGUUGCUGCCGGAGUCGGGGUUGGCGAGGGAGGAAUCAUCGCGUAGCGAGUUCAUGGGCGGCACGACUGUGGAGAGGUGGCGGAAAAGUCGGAAGGCAUCGGGUCUUGCAGCCGAUGAUCCGACGAGAUGAUGGGCGCGAGCCGUGAGGCGGUCUGACGCAGCAGCGGCAAAGCUCUGCCAUGGCGGCGAUGGGGCACCAUGGCGCGGCCGGCGAGGGCGCGAGCGAGACGAGGCGUUGCAGAAAGGGUUGUAGAGGGGCUUCCGCUGCGAUUGGGGAGGAGGGCGUGGGAAUCCAUUCUGUCGCGGCCGACGACUAGGCGAAGCGGCGGGCGUCGGAGGGAUUAAGCCACGCGGCGGGGAAGCUCUGAAGCGGCACAUGCUGCGCGAGUGCGUUUGCCUCGGAAGAUCCGGGGAAAAGAUUUGCGGGUCCACCGGUCAGUCUCGGUUGUUCCACAUCUCCAAGAUUGAAAGGAACACCGCCGUUUGAGAUUUAGAAGGAACCGGUGUUUCUGGUUGGGUUUCCAGGGGUGGGGACCAGAAACUGGAGGUUGAGCACUUAAGCUCAAGGGAGCUGAGUCAGCGGAAAUUAGGGACUCGAAUUAGGAUUAAGUCAGCUGAUUAAACCUGGGUCGUUACACUGACGCUCCUCGGGCGUCACCGGCUCGGGGAGUCGUCGGAGUAGGGCCGCCGCAGCGGUGAUGUUCUGGUUGGCGCGGGUGAAGAGCUGAGGGCGCUCUUCGUCUGCACAGAUGCGCUGCUGGACGUCGCGCGCACGUUGUCGUGCCCCGCCUUCGUGGCGGGGGCACUCGACCUCUUGGCGGGGCGCCGCGCGCGCCUCCGGUUGUCGAGGUCGCACCGGGGCCUUGGCGAUCGCUCCGGUUGUAGCCGCGGCGCGCGGUGGGGGAGUCCUCUGCCUCCCCUCGGCGCCAUCAUCAUUGGACGCCUUGGAGUGCACGUCGAUCAUGAGGCACUCACGCGAGGGGGUGGUGGCUCCCACUGUUGGAGCCAGCGUUGGAAAUUGUCCUCACCACACCCACUAGCUCGUUGCUCGUAGGCGACGCGGUCAUGGACCACGCCAAGAGACGACCGUAGGUCGUCCCGGCAUUGCGCAGCCCGAAGAGACGCCCCUCUGAGGGAAGUCCUCUGGCGCGCGCCUGGCCGCUCGCCGUUAUCCCGGAGGCGGAGUCGGGAAUGGUGGGAUGAGCGGGCAAGACGAGGAGAGGGAUAAGCUCGAUCCCCUCCCCGAUGGCGAGGAAGUCCAGACUCCCGAAGCGGAUCAGAGAGCUCGGGGCGAAGCUGGCAUCGUGGCUGGCCAUAUCAAGUCGGUGUUGUAUGCGCAAAGGUCCCCUACCUGGCACGCCAAGCGCCAAGUGUCGUUGUCAAGAUUAGCGGGUCAAGACUUAGACUAGUAAAUUUCUUUUAUGCGCGUGAGGCUUGAGAUGGUGGCGUGAGAGACACGGGGUUUAUACUGGUUCGGGUAAAGGAAAUACCCUACGUCCAGUGUUAGGAGCUGCUCAUGUUGCCCACGCGGGGUUCUGUAGUAGGGGUUACAGAAGUGCGAGAGAGGGAACUGGUCCCAGGUCUCUUGGGUGUGCACUGAUGCUCUAGAAGGGUGUGUGCGUGUGUUCUGUUGGCUUGGAAGCAUUGUGGUGCCUUUUGUUGUCCUUCCAGCCCCCCUGUCUCAGGCCCCCGAUUCCCCUUUUAUAGCGUAAGGAGACCACCGGGGUUACAGGCGAGACCGAGUAUGGGGAGAACUAAAGAGAUAAACAUAGCUAGGUAAAAAUACAACACCAAAAGGGGGGAAACAAGUUCCCAGGUCACCGGCGUCCUCACCGGCCUUCGACUUCCGCCGGCGCAUUUGCCGGAGGAGGGUGGCCGCCAUCGCGUCCUGUCGAUGGCUUCCUCGGCGACUGUAGCCGCCGGGCGUGAUGAUGGCAUUUCGUCGUGACCCUCGUGUCCGUUGGGGGAGGCAGCGGAUCCCGCCAUCCUGCUAACGGCCCGCGGAAGGCGGCCAUCGCAUCCCUGCCGCCGGGCGCGCGGGGCACGAGAACGGGCGAGGCUCCCCCCUGCUUCGGGCGACGCAGGCCAUGAGUGCCCUGUGGUGAAUGGGUGGAGGCCGCAGCUACUGUAGCUUGUACAGUGCGGCCGCGCAUGGGUACUUGCAACAGGUUGCGUGAGGGGCGCGGGCAUCCUUCUUCCUGACAGACCUGCGACGCAUUUAUGGCGAGAUCGACAGGGGGACCCACGAGAUAUGCGCCCGAGGCGGAUACUCGUCUGGCGGGCCCGGGUCAGCCCGACCCCUUACACUUGGGGUCGGGCGAGGCGGAGCGUGAUUCUUGCCCCCCGUGUUGGGCCGGAGGCAGGCUUGUUACCUUAAGUGGGCCUGGGCAUUUACGUUUUGUUGUUUCCAUGGGCUUGGGGAAAUCGUUAAUAUUUCCCCCCAACACUAAUGUUAAUGUUAGCAUUAGUAUUGGGAUGUAACACCACCCGGUACUAAAGGUGCCCCUUUUUUCCCCUUUAGUACUGAGUGGCGUUAUGACCUGGUACUAAAAGGUCUAGAACUUUUUAGUACCGGGUCAUAACACCACUUGGUACUAAAGGGACACUUUUAGUAUCGGGUGGUGUUAUGACCCGGUAUGAAAGGCCCUCCACGCGUUACUUUAAAAGGAUAGAAUAUCUACCUUCAUCACAUGUGCUGUGUAGGUGGGAUGGUAAGGAAGCCUAUGAAGCUUGAGGUCGUGGGUUUGAAUCCCACAGACCGCACAUGACGCGAGACUUUAUUUUUUGACGCAAAACAAGUGUUACCAACCGGUACUAAAGGGAUCCCUUUAGUAUUGACGCAAUACUAAAGGCCACCCUUAGUACCGACACAGCAAUACCUGUUGUGCAACCGGUACUAAGGAGGGUUUGGAACCCAUACAGAAAGCGGAAUCCCCAGUAGUGAGUGAAGAAGCUAUCUCGGUGGGGGAGUGAAGGCACGUAGGCCUAUGAUCACGUAUGUUUGUUUGGGGUGGUUCCGAGUGAACGUGGAAGGUUUGUUUUUAUGAAGGCCGGGGUGUUUUGUUCCUUAAAAAUGGUUUUUAAAAGUGAAUUUUCACCCUUAAAAUAGGAGCGGAUGGAGCGAUUUUCAGGGACGGUUUAUAAGGAGCAUCGCUCCUAGAAAUUAAACCACCAAACUAGGAAUAAUCCUUUAACCAUCUGAUCCCCCUCUCUUAUCCUCUCCUCCACCCACACAUCCUCUCUUCUCUGUCACUUAUCCUCCCAUGCACUGAUCCUCAUGCAUUCCUCCUCUUUCCCCAUGUUUUCCUCCACUCCCACGUAAGAGCACACAAGGACGAGCGAUCACAGGCUGGAGGUUGGUGGGCGGGUGGGCUGCUCCGGCGUGGUGGCAGGUGCGGGCGUGCGGCGGCGCGCCUAGCUCAGGUGCCGGAGGUGUGGAAAGUACUUUUUUCUGCACUAAAAAUUCACAAUUUUUUUCUGCACUAAAAAUUCACAUAACCUUCAAAAGUAGUCUAGUUUGGUGAAUUUAGUUUUAAGGUUUAAGUGAUGCAUAUGUGUUUUCGUGCAAAAUGGGUUCAUCUGCAUCUGUUUUAUCACCACAAAAGUUUCAUGAAUUUUAUAGGUGAUUUGAAGGUCGUUUUGAUUAAAAGAAAAGAGGUUAGAUCAAAUCCACGGGUUACUGUGCGAGUUAACUGACAAACAGACAAAAGUGUCAAAUAAGAAGUUUAACUUAAUGUUUAAUAAGGAAGUUGAAAUUUUCAAUGUCAAAUUAUAAAGCUCCAUAUAUUUUAACGGUAUCAAAUAGUGAAUUUUCACUUCCACAAGAAGACUGAGAAAACCUAUAUGGGAUCAAGGCGAAGCCUUGAGAAUUGGGUUCCAAACAAACCGAGGCAGGUGGAACCGUUUUUUUUCCCACAAGGUGGAACUGGUUAAGUACUGCUAGGAGCAUAGCUAUUAGUCUAUUAGCAAGGACCGCACACAAUAGGCUUCGGCGAAAAACAUCAUUAAGGUGCUAGGACAGGAGGGAACCAAGAACCAAUUGUAAUCUCUUACCACAUUAGUGUUAUAAAGACUAUUGUGCUUGUGCCCCGAAAUAUUUUUAGCAUACAGUGGUUGCGAGGAUAUAAUAAUAGCGUAAAUUGUAAACUGAUGUUUGGUCCCCCAUGUGUAAACCAAAUUUUGAGGAGUAUAAAGAUAGAUCGGUUGAUCUUAAUUAUUUCAUUGAUGAUGCGUUUAUAUCUUGGAAUAUCAUAGUCACUUGCUGAUCAGAGUGUGCUGCAGUUGGCCGUCUGGAAGGAGAGCUGGCCCUUGCCGAUGUCGAAGAGGAGGUGCAUGUUCUGCUGCUGGAAGUUGCCGAUAAUGCUUAUAUCGAACGCUUCCAUGAUAGCCAUGCAGGCCGUCGACUUGUCUAUUGGCGCCCAGUAGUUCUCCGGAGGCAGGGCCAUGUCCGCGCCGCCGCUGAAGUGGAACACGAGCGUCGGCACAAAGCUGUCCAAGUCGCCCCGUGCCACACACAGCGCCAUCCCACCGCCAUCUCCCCCCGGAGGUGGCACGAGGCUGCCGUUCAGCUGCCGAGCAAGCUCGUCGGUUAGCGGCUUGUACGCGUCUUCGACGAGCGAGGUGAAGGGGCUGCCGGAGUCGAUGAUGACCCCGCCCGCCCAGAACCCCUGGUCAAGGCGCCGGAGAUCGAACACCGAGCUCUGGAUGGGCAGCUUGGUCUUGCCGACUGUGAUCCCCACCAGAGGGAGGUAGUAGAACAGGCUGUAGGGGUAGUCCUUGGGGUUCUCCGCGAACGGCAUGGACGUCACGGGGCCGCCGCCGCCGCUCAGGCUCGCCGCGGCGCCGACGAACAGGAGGCUCGACGCGCCGUUGUUGUGGAAGUAGGGCGUGAGGCAGUAGGAGAACUUGGUGGCGCCCGUCUGGGAGACAAGCGACAGGCGUCCGCGGCCGAGCCCGAUAAGGCCCGACGCGCCGCGGAGCGCCCCCUGCGUGAGCCGCGUGAAGCUCACGCACCCGAAGGCGAGCGUCGCCACGCCGGACUGGAACGCAAAGGCGUCGGUGCUGAGGAAGCCGAUGACGCUGCCGGCGCCGUAUAAGACCCGGAACGUGCAGCUGCCGUCCAGGGCGCAGAAGUGCACGCUGUUGGCCGCGCAAGCCCUGUCCCUGCACGGCACGGGCGCGAAGCUGCCGGAGGCCGAUGCGUUGAAGUAGGGCAGGUCCUGCCGCUCGCAUGACUUCCGGAGGCAUGCCGUGGACUGCGUCCAGAUGAGGUCGCUGCCGGUGUCGAUGAGUGCCUCCACGCGCUGCGGCGGGUCGCCGAUCAGGUACUCCGCGAUGUACUGCCGGGUGGCCCAGUGCACGGGCGCACUCACGCCGCCGCCGCCGCUUGCACGCAUGGAAGCCAGGCGCUGCUGGGUGACAGCGACGGCACGCUGCACGCGCUCCUCCGUGGUGUAGCUCCCCUUGGCGUCGACGUGGGUGAGCUUCAUGCGGAUUCCUGUGGCGCUAGCGGUGCCGCCGCUGCAUGUUAGGACAGCGCUGAGGCACAGGAGCCCGAGUAAUACCAAUGUCGUUGGCGCCAUUUUCGAUUUCAACUUUGUUCUUGCCGAGACUUAUUGUAGUUGUAGCCGUUUAAUACCAAUGUGCAUGUAUGUGCAUCAGUACAUGUGUAUACACACCAGUAGAGAAUUGGCUUUCCAUGCGCCCCCUUUUGUCCCGGUUUAAAGUUGGCCCGGGACAAAAGGUUCACCAACCGGGACUAAAACUCGGUCACUGGUGGGGGCCUCACCAACCAGGACCUUUUAUCCCGGUUGCAAAGGCUAGUGGGAAAAAAAGACUCUGAGAGGCCUUUUAUCCCGGUUNNNNNNNNNNNNNNNNNNNNNNNNNNNNNNNNNNNNNNNNNNNNNNNNNNNNNNNNNNNNNNNNNNNNNNNNNNNNNNNNNNNNNNNNNNNNNNNNNNNNGCAUAUCUCGCCCCCGUAUUGGGCCGGAGGCAGGCUUGUUACCUUAGGUGGGGCCUGGGCCUUUACGUUUUGUUAUUUCCAUGGGCUUGGGAAAAUCGUUAAUAUUUCCCCCCAACACUAAUGUUAAUGUUAGCAUUAGUAUUGGGAUGUAACACCACCCGGUACUAAAGGUGCCCCUUUUUUCCCCUUUAGUACUGAGUGGCGUUAUGACCUGGUACUAAAAGGUCUAGAACUUUUUAGUACCGGGUCAUAACACCACUUGGUACUAAAGGGACACUUUUAGUAUCUGGUGGUAUUAUGACCCAGUAUGAAAGGCCCUCCACACGUUACUUUAAAAGGAUAGAAUAUCUACCUCCAUCACAUGUGCUGUGUAGGUGGGAUGGUAAGGAAGCCUACGAAGCUUGAGGUCGUGGGUUUGAAUCCCACAGACCGCACGUGAUGCGAGACUUUAUUUUUUGAUGCAAAACAAGUGUUACCAACCGGUACUAAAGGGAUCCCUUUAGUAUUGACGCAAUACUAAAGGCCACCCUUAGUACCGACACAGCAAUACCUAUUGUGCAACCGGUACUAAGGGGGGUUUGGAACCCAUACUGAAAGCAGAAUCCCCAGUAGUGAGUGAAGAAGCUAUCUCGGUGGGGCUCGGGAUUUUUUUUUUUGCAGCGCCGGCCGUGGUGACCCGUUUUGUCCCGGUUGAUUUAUCCCGGAUGGAUUUUUAGGAUAUUUGCACCUUACCAACCGGGACUAAAGCCCAAUUUUCUACUAGUGACAGGAAGACAAUUCUGAUCUCCAGCUUGUGGGUGAGCAAUGGGUGGCCAUGCAAAAACGGCUGACUACACGUUGACUCUAGUUACUAUCAAAAUAAUUAUAUACUGCCAGAGCUUGAUGACGACAGGACAAUGCUGCCAAGGCUCAAGUGUACGAGGAAUAAUACGUAAUAAUCUGGGUCUUUCUCGAUUGAUUCUAAUUUCUAUUUUCUUCUCGCGAAGACUUUAUCCGUUGGACGGUGAUAGUUAGAAUGGAUCAAGAUUCCAUAUGGGCUAAUAAUUUUAAGAAACAUAGAAUUAUAAAAUAACAAGUAUAAAUUCAUAGCUACUAGAAAAAUAAUCUCUCAUCUCACACCUUAGUACCGACCACAUUUCAACUUGGUACUAAUGCUAACAUUAGUACCGGGUCCAAAUUUAGUAGCCCUGAAGGUCUUUUAGUACUGGAUCAUAACACUACCGGUACUAAUCGUGUGCUAUGACCCGGUACUAAAGCCACAAGGACUUUUAGUAUUGGGUCAUAACACCACUCGGUACUAAAAAAGUUACUUUAAAAGAAAAACAUCUCUUAGUCCAUCACAUGUGCUGUGGCGGUGAGAUGGUAAAUAUUUAACAUUAUUUAACCAUAAUUUAAAUCAUUUAAAAGGGUCAAAGUAUUCAUAAUAACAUUAGGAAACAUGAAAAUAUUCAUAAUAACAUUACAAAACAUGACACGCCAUAAGAUGUAGAGAGUAAAAAUGUAAAAUGAAAUCUAUAAAACAUAAUUAAGCAUAGAUAUUACAAUAACUUAGAUAGUAAAAUUUAAUAGUAGGAUCAUGGGCAUGCAUGAUCCCAUAGGAUCCUACAUCAAGGGUCAUGAUAGAACGGAACUAAGAUCAACAAUGGGAUCACAUGAGCAUGUUUCGGCUCGGCGCUUCAUAUAUUGUGUAAUAUUCGAUAUUUUCUUGAAUCUUUUUUAUCUUUAUUUUCACAACGAUGUUUACACUUUCGCAUUUAUGGGCAGUAAAUCUAUUUAUGUAUAAGCUAACCACACAUAGUAUGAAAUUUAUAUUUCACUAUCUGGUUGAAAAGGGAAAACAAUUGUAGCUACAAAAUUGAAUUUUUAAUGAAUACUCAUCUUCAGCACUAAAGCUUGAGUAACAAACUUUGUAGUUAUAGAAGUAAUCAUGAGCAUGAAGUAGUUAGACGUUGAAAAACUAUCAACCAGCCAUUUCCUAUUCGCUAAUCCUACAUUUAAAACUGGUCUAUGAAAUUAGUUGUCAACAUAAGAAUAAGAGAAAAAGGAAUUUAAGGACUUGCAUAACUUAUUUUUCAUCACAUAGACUUACUACUUAAUAGACAAUUUUUACAAAGUUAUUUUGUCAAAGAAAAUGAUCAGCUCCCUAACUCCCAACAACCUAGUGAAUCGUGGCUGCACCUACAUGAUUCAUAUUGAAGUUUUAGGAUACCUGUUGCACAUGUUGCAUUUGCAUGAAAGAGAACGGCACUUGAUAAGAUUUGUGGGAAUUAGAUGUAGUUGAUCAGUUACUAUCACUUUCGUAAUCAUUAUUAUCAUGCUAAUACUCCUAAGACAAAAUGUUCUACCUUUCCAACAGAAGAACGCGAGAUAAUUCUCUUAUUUUAUGAGCAACUUAGAAAUGUAAUUACCAAUAACUCAUUCAUGUAUUUAAGAAUCAUUAUGCAGUAUCCUUGAUAUGCAAGAUUUUUCUUGCUAAAGGAAUAUAAUAUUAACCAUUUCCUUUUAUUUCAUUGAUGGUUUAAAUGAUUUUAAUGAAAUGCAAUGGAGUUUCUGUUCCGUUAAAAUCUGCUGCAAAAUACCACAAAAAUCAAAUCCUGGAGAGAAAAAAAAAAUGAUUCCAUGUAUAGGGUAGCCGAAGGGGUUUCGUUACAUAUUUUCUGCUAAAUUGAUACUAAUGCUGGUCCGACCUCAAAAAACUUUUCAACAUUUUGACAUCUCUGAACUCUGAACUUUACACCUUGUUGAAGCCGUUACAAACAGCGGUGGACGCAACGCAGAGCACACGUCAAAGACUUUUCCCAGAUACCAAAUGAUAAGAAAAGCAUUGGUUCUUUUUCUGCAACGUCGGCCAGUCGGUGACCCGGUGCGGCAGCUCACGUCAGAUGUGCCGGCCUGACGCCUGCCUGAUCAUGUUGUUCGGUUCAGAAUUCCUUCAUCUUUAUCAAACCCCCUCCCUAAUCUCUUUCUUCUUGAGCAAUAAGCAGUGCACGUGGUGCGGAACGGGUUCUCACGUGGGGGAGGAUCCGGGUCUUUGCUUGAUCUGACGGGAAAAAGAAAUUGGUUUGCAAGUGAUGGUUGGCCCUUCACAUUCUCUCGAGCUUCCUGUGAUGUUCUUGUUCUCACUCCCGUCAGUUGGCUUGUUUUUUUCGAUACACAGUUUGCCGAAGCAUAUUGAAAAAAUUACCCCGUCUGCUUUUUUUUUUUGAGACUGAAUCAUUCCUCAAACCUGGGCCGGAGCCCAGAAGCAAUGUACGCUUCAGACCAUCAGAGUGGGCCCCGCUGCUAGAUUUCGGCAGUGACUGAAGUGGCCCACGAAACCAAUGAUGUAAGGCCCAAGAAGUUUUCUGUUGAAGGGAAUCAUACUCACUAGUGGCUAGUCACGGUGCUGCUACCUGCACGUGUGCAAACUGGUAAGUUUGACGGACUCAAUGUCUUCGCAGCAACAGCGGUCAAGCUAUGAAGUUAAGAUAAGCCGUGACAGUGGCGGAUAAGAGGAUGUGUAUGCGACGAAGCUGCAAAAACUGUUCUUAAACCCCCCGUGAGAGCAACUCCCAUAGAUUGAUUUCUUCCUUUCCCUUUCCUUUCCCUUUUAUCUCCAUAUAAGAGAAUUACCUUUGAAAGUUCCAAAGUACUAGGUAGAUUUGCUGCAGCAAAUCUCAUUUCCCCUUUUCCCUUUCCAACUUCUCUUACACAUGGAACCCACAUGUCAUUGACAUUAUAAAUUUUUUUCUUUUUUUUCUUCUUCUUACUUACCUUCUCCUUUCUUCCCUCUUGCGCCCUUCCUUCUCGCUUGCCGCAAGUGGCGAGCGCAAGAUGGCGGCCUGGGCAGAGCCGGCGUGUGGCGCGCCGUGGCGACCAGGGCAGGGUGUGCGGGCCGGCCCGCAAGGGUGCGCGAGCACUGGGCACCCAAAGCGGCCCUCCGAUUAGCCGCUAGCGCGCGGGUGAAGUCUAGGGCACCGGGUAGGAGGUAGUGGGCGGCGCGCCGUGCGGUGCCCGCAGGCGAGCGCCAACAGCGGUGCCAAAGCAGGCCCACCAACGAGCUCACAGGCAGGCAAGCGAGUGGCACGCGGGGCGUGCAUGGCGACAACAUCGGGCGGCCAGGGAUGCUUCGUGGCCUUGAGAUCGUGUGGCAAAGAGAAGAGGAAGGAAAGUGAGGAGGAGCAAUCCUCUUCGAAAAGGGAAGAGGGAGGAAGAUAAAGAGGAUUGAGAAAAAAGAAAGGGGAAUAUAAGGGGAUAUGUUGGAGCACGUUUCUUUUACCUCUCAAUCCCCUAUGGCUGAAAAAUAAAACGGAACUAGCGCCCGGACGUCCGUUCCGGGUGCAAAAAUCGGACGCACUCUCCACCGUCGAAUUCAAUACGUGUCAACCGUCAGAUGAAACACAGGGAGAUCGGGACAAGUCCGCACCAACCACAGAAAAAACGUACCCUGGCGUCAACUCCUUCAUGCGGGUCGGGAUAGGAGCGAAGCUCCCAGCUUCGCGCCGCCGUCCAGAUCCACCGGCGACGAGUGAAGAUGGCGCAUAUCCUUCAAAAAAUAGAACUCCCCCCUCCAAAUCAACCACAUGGCGGCCACCCGCCCCCCAUUGUUGCUUGGAACCCCUCAGAUCUACAGAUAAUUGACCUCAACACGCUACCAGGUAUGCCGCCCCCCAUUGUUGCUCGGAAUCCCUAAAUGUUGCAUUGAAUUCUUCGAGCAAGCGUGAUAAUUCACUUCAACACCCACCCCCAGGUCUUUCGAGCAGCAUCCAUGGGGGAUUGGCAUCCCAAUCGAGUCACCAGAAAUGGCAGGUAUGAUUUCGUUUGAAACACUAGAUGUGACAGAAAUCUUAUACAGUUUUGCAACAUCUAAUGAUAACAUGUGGCACAUUGAAAAACAGUUAUUGUAACAUCUCAAAAUGCUCAUGGGUUAACUGAAUGUUACAUAUAAGUGUUGCAACAUCUAAUGAUAGCAUGUGGCACAUUGAAAAACAGUUAUUGUAACAUCUCAAAAUGCUCAUGGGUUAACUGAAUGUUACAUAUAAGUGUUGCAACAUCUAAUGAUAGCAUGUGCCACAUUGAAAAUCAGUUAUUGAAACAUCAAAAAUUGUAUGUGCUAACUGAAUGUUGCAUCUUACUUCGAUGUACAGUUUUUGCAACAUCUGAACAUUGAUUUCGCUAGUAACACUAACUGCAACAUUUAUUUGCAGGUGAUGGAGCAUUGGUUCCUGUUGCGAGCAUAUCAACACACUCAAAUGAAUAUGUUUCAGUACAAGUUGGUGCAAAUGAAGAGGUCUACCAUGAGGAUGAAGACGUCGUAUGCUCACAGCCUAUUGUGCCGAAAGUUGGGAUGGAAUUUGACACGAUACAAGAAGCAAGGUGGGUUUACAAUGAGUAUGCCAUGAAGUUGGGUUUCAGCAUAAGAGUGCCUUCUUCAAGAAAUAGCAACGUCACAAAGGAGCUGAUCAGAAAGGAGUGGGAGUGUUCUCAUGCUAGGAAGCCAGCUCUUGAUGGAGAAGAUGAUGGAAAGGAAAACACAUCAGCGAGCACAUCAACAAAUGACACUGCAACACAGUGGGAUCGAAAAAAAGAGCAGCAACAGCUGUGCUUACCACGGCAACAAGGAAGCGCAACACUAUCAAAAAGUUGGACUGCAAAGUUCAUAUGAUGGUUGGCUUGAGAAAUUCGAGGUGGAGAGUGAUUGUAAUGCAACCUGACCAUACUCAUCCCAUGGUGUGAAGGCGAUUGGGGUUAGGAAACACUUGAGGUCCCACCGAAGCAUCUCGUGAGCUGAUUAUGAGCUGCUGAAAACACUACACCAUAGAAAUAUUAGCACAACACAGAUCAUGGGGGUGCUUGCUGAUUUCCAUGGGGGGCUUGGCAACCUUACUUUCAGCAGCAAGGAUGUUUCAAACAUGAGGACACACUUGAGAGGAGGUCUCACCUACAGGGAUAUGGAUGCAACAUUAGAGUAUUUUCAAAAGCAACAAGCUGAAAGUCCUUCCUUCUAUUAUGCAACAAUGAUAGAUGAUAAUAAUGUUGUUAGAGGAUUGUUUUGGGUAGAUGGGAGGACUAGAGAGCUGUACAAGAGUUUUGGAGAUUGCAUUUUCUUUGACACAACAUAUUGCACCAACAGAUAUGACAUGCCAUUUGCACCAAUUGUUGGGAUAAAUAACCAUUUGCAUAGCAUACUGCUUGGAUGUGCAAUGUUGCCAGAUGAAACAAUGGAAACAUUUGUUUGGGUGCUAGAAAGGUUGAAGGGAGCGAUGGGUGGGCGUGAACCAACCAACAUAAUGACAGAUCAGGAUAAAGCAAUGAAAGCAGCAAUAGCAUUAGUGUUCCCUAACGCAACACACAGAUGUUGCAAAUGGCAUGUCCUGAGCAAGGCUAAUGAUAAGCUUGCUUGGCUUAUUAGUGAGGAAGAAGACUUUGCAAAGGAGUUUGACUACUGUGUGAACAAGACUGAAACACCAGAAGAAUUCGAGAUGUUGUGGGCAAGCAUAGAGGACAAAUACCACUUGCAGGAAAAUGAAUUGUUUCAAAGUAUGUCUAGUACAAGGAGGAUGUGGGCACUUGCGUACUUCAGAAAGUACUUCUUCCCCUUCACAAGCACAACAGGAAGAUCGGAAAGCAUGAAUUCAUUGUUAAGAAAGUUGUUCACCCUCAGGACUCAAUGUUGCAAUUUAUAACACAAUAUGAUUACAUCAUGGACACCAGGGCAGAAAGAGAAAAUAAGGAGCGUUGCAAGGGAGAGAUUUCAGAUCCACCACUAUGGGGAAGGUAUGCUUUUGAGAAGCAAGCUGCUGCAUUCUACACCGGUGAAGUCUUUGGUAAAUUUCAAGAGUUGUUGCGUGAUUCUACAAGAUACAAGGUAGGGGCUGUUGAAAGUGAUGACCAGGGUUGGUCCAUUCAAAUUGUGCACCCAAAUUCAACUAGAGUCCACAUGUUCACCAUUGAUAAAUAUGCAACAUCAUAUACAUGCUCUUGCAACAUGUUUGACCGUGAUGGCCUCUUGUGUCCUCAAAUACUAAAAGUAUUCACAAACAGGGAUGUCGAAAAAAUUCCAGAGAAGUAUCUACUUAGAAGAUGGUCAAAGGAAGUGACUAUAAUGAUACUGGAACGCCUCUUGGGUACAGAACCAGCAUUUGGUGUCCCAACCACAAACAAGCUAAGGUACAAUGCAUUAUGCAGAAAAAUGACGUCACUAGCAGCUGAAGCUUGUUUGGGUCCUGAAAAGUACAUUGUAGCUUCAGCUGGGAUAGAUACAUUGGUACAAGCAGUCAGGACAGCAAGGGGGUCACAAGAAAUGCAACAAGAUGAAGCGUCCAAUGUUGCAACAGGUCAACAGUCCAAAACUCUUGCUGUCAUGGUAAAGAAUCCAACAAGAACAAAAAGUAAAGGGAGACCAAAGGAGAAGGUGGAAAGGUUCAAAUAAGUAGUGGCACAAGCUAAGGAAAAAGCAAUGAAAAAGAAGGCAAAAGGAAAGAAGACAGCCCAAAAAAUCCCACCAUGCUCAUAUUGCUUUGAAGAUGGUCAUAGUGUACAGACUUGCGCGUACAUGGCCAAGGCGGAGGCACUUGCAAAGGAUCUCAAAGAAACAGAGGUGAAGCUCUGAAUUUUUAAUUAUUCUUUUAUUAGAAUGAGCUGAAACACGUAUUAGAAAGUACUGCAACAUUUCAUUUUAUGAACUGCAACAUUAUGUCUCAUUUAUACUAAAUUUUUUUUUGUGAUGCUGUUGUUAUGCCCAUGUAUGAGAUUGAGCCUUGUGGUAUUGAUAUUAGACCAUGAGCUGGAGAUGAAUUAAACUGCAUGUUGUGUGGCAUAAAAAAAAAGAUGUGAUGUAUCAUUGCGACAGUUGAUGUUGCAAGUUCAGUAGUUCGGUGUUUCAAAUGUUAUGAACGCUUGUUGCAAAAUAGAAAUGGCGCGACAACAUUAUUGCAACAUGGUUCAGUAGAGUUUGCAACAUUAAAAUUAUAGUACAGCAACAUACUACUUUAAUGAUGUUUCAUCAGUUAUCCAUGAAUGUUGCAAACAAGAAACUAAAAGCCAACAUUUCUGCAACAUAGUAAAGCAGAAUUCGCAACAUAUAAAGUGCACUACGGCAACAUAUAAAAAAACUAAGCUGUGGUAAAAUAAUUGGUAUCCCACAAUCCUGAAUACUCCAUACAUCCACAUUUCUAAGAUGAUUGUUAGCUAUAUACAGAGACCUAAACUCCUAUAUUGCACAAUGAAACAUGAUGUCACUACUUCUGGUUGCAAUACUUUUCAACAAACUCGCUUGUCAGGAUAUCAUUUCUUGGAGAAAGUAGGAGAAUGCCUGCAGCCAAUUUCCUAUAGUUUGCAAUCAUGUGCUAAAAUAGGGAAAAAGAAAACAGAAUUAGGUAACAAAAAAAUUGCAGAAGUAACAUCAUGUAUUGGGGUAAAAGAAUUAGGUAGCCACAUUGCAAUAAGACAUACUGGCUCAAAUGUGGUGUCCAUCUUCUUCCCAUUCCAAGACUCCAUAUAUAGAAUUGUGUAUAACCCACAAUCAUGCCUAAAAAACAAAAAGAAUUGGGUUAUCAAAAGAAACAUGGUGAGAAAAGAUGAAAAAACUGCAUGAAUAAUUCUUUAUGUAAGCACAUGAAUGAUGAAAAACUUACAAAGAUUUUUGAUGCGGGUAGUCCGUGGGAUAUUUCCAAUCAAACAGAGAGAUGUCUUUGUUUAGCACCCCAGCUUGUAUACAUGCUUUUGAAAAAUUGGUGACCUAAAAAUAGAACCAAAUGGUACGUUAUAUACUAUUGAAACAUUUCAAAUCAGCAGCUGCCACAAUGAUAAUUAACUAUUGAAAUAUUGCAAAAUUAAAAGGUUAAUUGUCUGUUACAAUCUACAACCUCUAUAGUUCUGCAACAUCACAAAUCAUCAGGUGCAACAUUGAUUUUCAAUUAUUGACACACCAUAAGAUGAAAAAGCAUCAAGUAACAGAGGCUAUUAAUAACAAAAAAAAAGAGGUGCAAGUUUGAGAGUACUGACCACAUUCUUGGCAGAAACAAAACAUUUCGUAUCAUGAGAUCCCCCAAGAGAAUUGAACCAGCAAAUUUCCUUUAGAAACAUGUUGACACUAACAACUACCCAAUGCCCUUCUUCAACAAUAGGGAAAAAAAACUAAAAAAAAGUAGAUAAGAAAAAAAAAGAAUGGGAAAUGAAAGGCAACUUAAUUGUGCAACACAGUACCAGAUCCAUUUUUGAGAGAUCCCAAGACUUGUUCAACUUUGUCAAAGCCGUGUUGCAGCUGUCUUGUAUGAAAUUAUCAGGUUCAAUUUUUAGCUUGUCCUUGAAAAAAAGUUAGAAACUAUAAAAAUGAAUGCAGGGGCACAUAUGAUGGUAAUAAAAAAUUGCAAAACAGAAUUCAAAUCUUACAGUAAGAAUAGUAGAUAAAGCAAAUUUCUUAACGAUGUUAUUGUCCUUCUCACGCAAUUCAACUUCUUCAAUGUUGAAUUCAUAGGACCAUAAAGCCAUCACGUGGUUAUUAAUUUCCCCCCUUUGCUUGAAGGAUCCAUAGAAUUCAUCAUAAGUAACAUGGAAGCCGUCAAUUCGAACAAAUGGUGGGGCUGGGAUAAAAAAAACUAAAUUAGAAUUUGAAACAUCUAACUAGACCUACUGAAACAUGUGAAACAUAUAGAAGGAAUAUUGGGGGAAAAAUUGAACUGCUGUAACAUGAGUACUACAUAUUUGAAACAUCUAACUAGACCUACUGAAACAUGUGAAACAUACAUAAGGAACAUUGGGAAAAAAAUUGAACUGCUGUAACAUGAGUACUACAUAUUUGAAACAUCUAACUGGACCUACUGAAACAUGUGAAACAUACAUAAGGAACAUUGAGAAAAAAAUUGAACUGCUGUAACAUGAGUACUACAUACUUGAAACAUCUAACUGGACCUACUGAAACAUGUGAAACAUACAUAAGGAACAUUGAGAAAGACAUAAAGAGUUGCUCACGGUUGUUCUUGUUCAUCAUUAUUCGCAUUUGGAUUGAUUGGCACUUUCUUCAUUAUCCUCUUGCUGAGAUACUUGUUAUAUGCAGUAACAAUUUCAUCAUCUAACUUAAUUCUCUUCAAUUUCUUUCCUUGGUUCAGAUGGAUGGCAGCCCUCUUCCUCCUAUUUUUCUUGUCAAAUGUACUUGACCCAGGCUUGUUAACAAUAGUCUCAUCAAUGGUGAGAUCAGCUGCAAACACAAGAAUAACAAAAUACUCAAAUACGUGUAAGAAAAGAGUAUUGAAAAUGGAGACAAAAAAAGGUAAAAAAAAAGUCACCCAAAGUAGAUGCUGCUGCCGCUGGGGUCAAACAAUCUGUUUCAAUUCCUUGGCUGGACAAGAGAUCAAAUGAAGGGAUGUCAUCAAGAUAACUUGAAUCGUUGCUUCUCUUGUCAAUAGGUGAACCAGCAGCACUGGUGGGGGCUCCUAAAGUGCUAGUUGAUGCAUCUGUUGUGGCAGCAGCAUUGGAAGUUUGCCCAUUUGAACCACCACACAUGGAAGGAGCUGCUGCAUCAACAUUAGAGGUGGAAACCCCUGCUUCAACACCAUCAUUCCUCGCCAUGUUAGCUAGAUCUGCCAUCUUGCCCAACAUUUCAAUGUGAUGCCUCCUCCAAAUAGCCAUGACCUUAUCUUUAAUUUGUGCACUGAUGGUUGUAGAGAUAGCAUCGGCAAGUUGGAGAACAUCUUGCUCCACAAGUUUAGAGUAAUGAGAAGCAACAUUCUGAUACUCAAGAGGGAUCUAUUAUAUAGAAUUAUAAAAUAAAUAAAAGAGUAUUAGCAAGAAGUGUAUUGGGACAUUGCAACAUGAUGGGAUGAAACUAAAAAUAUGAAAAACACACAUGCAACACCAUAAGAAUGUGUACUGAAACAUUGGUGAAAACAAGCUGAAACAUAUUAUAUUUUGUGAAACAGAUGUAUUUUUCUACAACACCUAUUUGUUGAUUCUGAAAGGUUAAAGAACUACUACAACAACACAAAUUUAAAUGAAACCAAACUAUGGGUCCAGAAUUCAUGUUAAUCAUAUUGAAGGAGACAUAAGUUUAUUGCAACACUUAUAUUGUAUUGUUGCAACAUUAAAGAUAUACUACAACAACAUUAAAAGUGUUUGCGCAUAGAAUGAAUUGCAACACAGAGUAUAAUAAGAUGACACAAUCAGAAACUGAAAAUGUAACAUAUUUUUUCACCUGAUGAAGAAGAUUGUUACUGGAUGGUAGUUGAUGCAGCCAUUCAUCUAAAGAGCUGACAGCAGGGAUUUCCUCAGUGGCAGCUGGGUCAGGGACUUCCUCAGUGGCAGCAGGAGCAGAAAUUCCAACAGCAGGAGCAGGGUGUUCUUGUACAAUUGGGGCAGCACCAUAAGGAGUACGGGAGAAGUCGCAAAACUGAUCAUGAAAAGAAGCAUGAAAAUUUUUAAGAAGGCAAAAAGCAAUGAAAAAGAAGGAAAAAAGAAUGAAGAAAAGAUUAUGAAAAGAACAUACAAGGAGUUUUCCAAAUGUAUUGCCCAAUGCCAGCCGGUUUUUAUCAACUGCCAAGACAAAAUCAAAGUCUAUGUUUGAAACAUUGCAAAUACUAGGCAGGUUGUAAUUCAAUUGAUGGCCUCCUCGAUCAGUUUGCAAAUCAAGAUGGUCCAUGUAAGCAAUAUGAAAUUUGAUAAGAUGGUCCUUGUAAGAGAGAAUAUAAGAAUAUGAUCAUAGAAUUAUUAAAUGGGCAGGAAAAAAGAACUUAAAAUGCUGAAAGAAAGGCAUUAAAUAACCAUACCGCUAGAAUAAUUAGACAAGAUCCCAUCUGGUGGUCUUUGUCAAGCCUAUCAGGAGUAAAUUUAUGGUACUUCUUCACUUCAUUCAUCAGCUCAUCCAACACAUGCCCCGCCCAACCAAAGGUGCUGAUUUCAGAAAUAUCAACUAGACUAUGAAGAUGUUUGAGGCUGACAUAGUUGCCUGUUCAUGGAGUGUAGAUAGUCCCUAGAGCCAACAGAGAAAAAGCCCUCACAAAGGAAUCCCUGUCCUUGCUAGAUUGCACAAUCUCUUUACACUUUGCAAUUUUAGCUCUAUCACCAUCCUUGUAGACUUCCCGAAGUUUCUUGACAUCUUCCGAGUCACCAGAUAACCUCAAAGGAAUGAUGCCAUUUUGAAGCCCAAGAAUUUUGCAAACAAGGUCACGGUUGAAUACAAUGACCUUGUUCCUGUAUCUAAACUCCCGGAGCAAAGGGUCCACAUGUUUAAGCAUCCAUUUAACAAGCUUCACUGGCAAUGAAAACUCAGCCAACGUCAACAGAGCACCAAAGCCAGCUUCAUUGAUCCACUGCUUUUGAUGAUCCUCAAGAUUAGGAAGUAGGUCGCGAAUUCUAUGAACUGAGAAUCUAGUCUUGAAGUGUUCCUCCUCUUUUCUUAACUGCACCUUAACUGCUAACAAUAAAUAAAACAAAGUAUCAGCCGUAGAAUGAAAAAUAAGAUGAAAAAAAGACAGCAAGUAAAUGAUAAAAAUGUAUAAUUGAAUGGUACAUGAAAAUUUAAUGUUUCAGAAUUUAAAAAUUCUUUGAAACAUCCCUAUUCAGCAAGUGCCACAUUGAUAUUAAAUUAGUGAAAAAAUUCAAAAUGAAUAUGUUAACUGAUUGAUACAACAUAUAACAUGUACAAAUAUGCAACAUUUCAAAAAACCAGGUGCAACAUUGAUAAAUAAUUAAUGAAACAUCUCAGAAUUAAAAAAGGUGAACUCAAUGUUAUACUCUAAACUUUUGCAACAUCUCAAAAAGCAGGUGCAACAUUGAUAACUAAUUAAUGAAACACAUCAGAAUUAAAAAGGUGAACUGAAUGUUAUAUCCUAAACAUCCUGUAAACUAUUGCAACAUCAAAGUAAAGCAGGUGCAACAUUGAUAAAUAAUUAAUGAAACAACUGAAAAUUAAAAAGAUGAACUGAAUGUUAACCUCUAAGCAUCAUCCAUACUAUUGCAACAUAUCAAAAAAUCUGUAGCAACAUUGAUAAGUAAUUGAUGAACAUCUCAAAAUAAAAUGGUAACAUGAAUGUUAUCAUCUAAAACUUUUGCAACAUCUCAACUGAAAAAAUAGCGUUGACAUGUAACCCUAACACAAGAUAUGCUAGUUCAAAAAUCCUAGAAACACUAGACGGAUGAACCCUAAAACACUAAAUGAAAUCAAAUCCGAACCAAAAUCCACACAAAAACAACGGAACGGAAUUAAAACACUCACUCAUGCGGUUGUUAUCGUUGUCCUGAAGAGCAUUGGGGGAAGGAUUUGCUUCACGCAGAUCUGGCGGAGCAGCAGCGGGUCCAAACCAAGGGAAGACGAGAGCUGCCGGCGUGAGCGCGUGCGGGAGGAAACGCCAACAUCGAUGCUUGGCUCGCCGCAAUUUACCUCCGGGGGCGGACUUCGAAGCGGGCGCGGCGACCGCAUUGCCGGCACGGAGGGCCUGGACGGACUUCGAACAGGGCGCGGCGACCGCGUUCCCGGCGAGGCGGAUGAAGACCUGGUGAUCCUUCCCACCGAAGGCGAAGAAGGGAGCGCCGGCGAGAUGGAAGAGGACUUGGGUGUCCCUCCGACCGGACGCGGCGACCGCAUCGCCGGAGCAACAACGGUAAAGGAAUGGAAUAGGGAAGGAGGAAAUGCGGCGGUUGCCGGUUGGAAAAGGGGAGCCGUCGGAUGUAGCGAACGGUGGAUGACGCGUCCGAAAAGGUGGAUGGGCGUCCGGACGCGCUGAUGAUAGCAUUUCCGAAAAUAAAAAUAGGAAAGGAGAUUUGUUGAUGUUGCUCUAAAAGUUCAGUCAGUCGAGCAACCAAAGUUCCAAAUAAACAAACUCAAAGUUCAUAGUUCUCAGUUUCUCACACCACCACCCGGCAGAACCAAGCAGAUAAAAAGGCCUGGCUAUCAGGGCUAGCUGCGUGCUCCGGCCCGUCGGCCCCUCCUGAUCAGUACCCCUACUGAACCUUCUUUGACAUGUGAAAUGCACGCAUGUCCUUCGUUCAUAAGCUGCAGAAAGAGCUACUCUGUAGCGAGUGAUUGAAUCUGCAUCGAGCAAAGACAAGCCAUGCAAAGCUGCCUUUGGUUAUCUGCCGUCGAGAGAGUGAUCCCGAGACGUGUCUGCAGGGAAGAGAAUGAAGGACGAUCAUGUACGUGUGGAGUCAAAGGCUUGGCUGGGCGGGUCGACCAUGCCAUGCAUGUCCAUCGCCACCGCAGCGCUCUGCCGCUCCUCAACGGUGCACACUGCACAGGCUCGCACGAAGUACAGGCAUCUCCUCAAAACAGAGUAUAGCACGAGUAUAAAAAGUUAUGGAACGGCAUCGAUUGAUGCUUGUGUACGAGUAUUUGUUGGAGAUGGUAAUGGUGGCCGGCUAGCACGUGAUGCUUCAAGUUAUUGCAGUGGUGUGGGGGAGCCGCCCUUGCUGCUGGUGGGCCCGCCUGAUCUCCUGGUUUAACCGGGAUGGAAAGAGGAGUCGCGCUCGCGCCCAUGCCCACGCAUGCAGCGUGGAAAAGUCAAAGAAUCAAAAGCCUCUAGCUCCUCCGAGCCAGGCCGCUCCUCAGCUCGCUCUAGCCUCUAGCUCCUCCGUGCCAGGGCGCUCUUCAACGCUUGCACAGGUUUGCGGAGGCGGUCCAUGCCGGCCGGAGUCGACUAGGCACUUCGAAUGAUGGAUCACAGAAAAGGUACAUUUGAUUUACCGAUUUUGAAGUAUUGUAACAAUGACCUGCAAAUUGCAUUGGUGGCCACAUCCGUUUCAGAUCCAUGGCUAUGCGACUGCUAGCUAGGCUAGCUGCAAGGAGGCACCCAGCAGGCUGUGUCAAAAAGGCUAUUCAUGCACACCAUCCAUUCUGAGUGUCUGUCAGUCUAGUAGUUAUGCAUGUAUACCGAUUAUUCAGCUGUCAUUCAUGGCUCGUGAGAUCCAACGACAUGUAAAAUGCAUGCACGUCGUCCUUCAUCUACUUCAAGAAGCAGUCGAGCUCGAUUCGGGGACUUGACGCUCCUCGCUCAAUAUAAUGUUGCGCACAGGCUCGGACGAAAUCGACCGUCCAGGUACGUAGGUAUCGCAAGCAAUGGGUCCAAAAGGAUCAGCCAUACACACACGCGCGCGUGAUCGAUAGUACACACAAGGAAGCUGGAUUAUUUGGGCUACUGCAGUCGUGUUGUAUAGCGCCACGAACGCCACGUCAUGUCACUUGUCACUACGGGAAUAUACUCGGAAGAGGGUGUACAAGAAAUUGUUGGAGAUGCGUCCAUUGUAUUGAUGCUUGUGUACGAGUCCGUGUUUGUUUGAGAUGAUGAGCGAUGACAGUACGAUCACGGUGGGUUAGCACCUGAUGCUUUCAGGGUGUGGAGGAGCCCUUGCCGCCGGUGUGGCCUGAUUUAAUUUGUAGUGUAGCUGAACCGGGUUGGAAAGACAUGAACUCCGUGAUGGCUGAUGAGUGGCUUGGUUGGUUGUAGUCGUGGCGGAGGCGGUGCAUGCCCCAUGCAUGCAGCGUGCAAGCCGCGCGGAGUAGUUACUAAGCGGUCAGGUCCCUCGUCGGUGCAACGCUAGGGCUACGUAUUUGGAGUACAUACUAGUACGUUGGUUUGGACUUUGCCGUAGUCCGUAGUAGAUAGCAGGUGAUCGGUGAUGAUCAUGCACGUACGACUUUAUUUUGGCCAGGCGUCGUCGCUUCGUCCGAUCGCCGUGUUGACAUGCACACCCGACACCGGCGGCCGGCAACGUGAUCCGGGACUUGCCUCUGCACUUUUCUGCUGCAGUGCAACUUGUUUAAACCUUAUGUUUUCAUUGAACUGUUUAAAUGCCAAAAAGGAGGAUGAGUGACUGUCUAGCGUUUAACGUGUAGAAAAACACUGAUUUUGAGAGAGGUAGCAUUCAUUGUUUUUUCUUUUCAUCAGUUUGUCAAUAGGAUAGUUGGAAAAAAUAAUCUGACUGUAGAUUAACUAGUAUUUCUAAAACAUAUUAUUUCAUUUUAUUUCCUGAUGUGGGUGGGCCUAGGAGCCUUGAUACCUAGUCAUCUUUCUCCAGCUCUAUUACUGAUCUAGUUGUCUCCAUCUUACUUACUGCUAUUAGCAUUUGCAGUUUGCUCUUGUUCCAGUAAACCCUGCUCCACCCACUGGCAACGCCACCAUAGAUGCUGAUCUUGCUCGAGUGUCCAUGAUGUAUGGUGGGAUCGAAAGGGUUCGGAGCCUUCUACAUGCUCGUGCUGACGUAAUGAUGACUUCGGGUGUCUUCCUUUCUGAGACGAAGCGGUACUGGAAACUGCAUGACCGGCUGCUGGCGGCAGCGAUGGCCCUUUGUGAGAAGGUUCUGAUGGACUAUGGGGUUGAGGCCCCAAGCACCCCCCGAGUACUUCUUCAACAACUUUUGAUGGAGUAAAAGUUUUGGAAACUCUGAAUGACCUUUUGAAAUCCUUGAACUCGUGUUAGGUAGUUGAAACCUGAAUUCUUUCUAGGGUGGAAGAUUUGGAGGAUCUUGUUGGUUGUUAAUCUUGUUUGUUGGCAGAAGUUUUGGAGGCGCUGGAACUCGGAGGACUUGUUAGUUUGGAUAAGUCCUUUAUCUGUGCGAUGGUACUGGUGUAGUGGUGUUAUGUGAACUUGCUGGUGCUUAAAGCCAUUUUGUCUGUUGGAAUGCAGGUCUAUUCUCGCUGCAUCUUUCUUGUGAAAAAUUAGAGAAAUUUAUGUUAUGCCCAUCUCUUUGUUUUUGCUCUUCUCAGUAGCCGGAUGUCAAGCUAACUAAUGCGUGCUACAAAGCAGGCAACCUGCGCAGGCAAGCGAACAUGAGGCAGAGGAUAGCCAAGCAAAAAAUCAUACCCAAGUUAUCUGCCGACCAGCAAUUACCGCGUUUGUGAACACGACUGCAAAGCUGACUGGCAGCAUAGGAGGAAAAUAGAAACCAUCACGGGACACAACAGUACGAUCAUUCACAGGAGUGCUAGCUACUACACAAUGCAAUUUUCAAGAUAAAAAAGGUAAAGUCAAAAUCAUUUAGCUUAUUCUCUCUUAGCCCUGUUAAUUGGGUUGGGUUUAUUGGUUUUAAUGGUUCGGUUUAUAUAAUAAGUUCAUUUGAAUUGGUUUAUAAUGAGUUGGCCUGCUAGAUGGUUUGGUUUGGUUUGGGUUUUACAAAUAAAUAGUUUGGAAGGUGUUUGGGGUGUGUGGUAUUAUUUUUGGAUCUAAAAGACUCUCAACUCGUGGGUUGAGACCCAUUAAGAAUCCAAAAGCCUGGAGCCUCAUCUAUCAAGAGUCGGACCUUAAAAAUAAAACCUCGCGUUCACACCUUAAAAUUUUGGAUAAAUUGAUCGAAACUUGUUACAGAUGAAUUAGUUUAACAGUCCGCUACUGUAUGCAAAGUAGUACGGCUGGACUUACAUGUGGGGCCCGCGUCAAGAGUCGGACCCUAAAACUAAAACCUUGUAUUCACACCUUAAAAUUUUGGAUGAAUUGACCGAAACUUGUUGCAGAUGAAUUAGCUUGACAGUCCGCUACUUUGUGCAAAGUAGUAUGGCUAGACUUACAUAUGGGUCCCACGUUGAGAGUCACAUACAAACUCAAAAAAAAGUUAACUAAUGGGUUUUUAUUGGGUACCUAAUGGGUUCUUAUUGGGUUGUAACCAUAUUUGACAAGUAAUUUGUAUAACUUAUGCAAUAGUAAGUUUGGGGUGGUGUGGUGUGUGAUAGUGGAGGUUUGGUUUAGGGUGGGUUAUAUUUAUUUUCUUAUGAGAAUAGAUUGGUGUGGUUACAACAUGGGUUACAACCCAAUUAACAGGGCUAUUCUCUCUAUUGAUCGCUAUCUAAUAUGAAUCGGCAUGGGUUUAACUUCAUAAGCGAUAUCAUGUGCCCAGGUGCAUGGUGCACUGGAUUUUUACUCCAUUGUUAUUUUUAUUUUCCUUGUCUUCUUUAUUUCUUUCUGUCCUGCAUGCAUCCAGGAGUGAGGGAAACGAAAUUCAUGUGUUUCCAAGGCCUCCAACACAUUUUUUUGGUGUUCCUAACUAUACUAUAUUUACAGUUAACACUCGUUGGAGUUAUAUCAGGUACAAUAAUCUUAUGUAGUUUUCACCUAGUCAUGUUGUGAUCAGGAAAAAUUGAGUGUUGGAUGCCUACAUAACCCAAAUUUAACUCAACUACAAAGGAAAUAAACUCUUAGCCGUCAAUUGCAAAUCUAGUGAAUAAAAAAAAUCGGGCGUUAAAGCCCAUGGAACACCCGGGUGUGAUGUAGAUGUCCAUUAAGAUUCUGUUGGGUCUGUAAGAAUGAUUUGUACUUUCAUCUCAACAAAUUCUCUUAUAUUUCCUAAUAUUCCUAUUUGUGUUGUACUAUUUUGUAGAAUGUAGAGAAUGGCUACGACGAGGUUUUUGAUAGAAAAGAGGGAAUGUAGUGGGGAUUUCCUGGAAUAAAAUGAGGCAGCAGAAAUUAUUGAAUACACUACGUUGCAAAAGCCAAUCAAUCUAGUACUGCAACAUGGGGCUUCAGUCCUGAAACCUCUGCUUUUCAGCAACCAAUCAAGAAUCAUAAAAUUCAAUCAGGCCAGUAUUUUUAGAGGAAAAAUACUCAAACUUCGUUUAAAGAAAAGAGGAAUUACUCAAGUUCAACAUCAAAUCGACACGAACGGGUACAGGAAGGCAACGAACGAUUAUCAUUACGACUAUCCUAUUACACAGGGAUGCAGCAAAGUAUAGCAGUGGCAGAUGCAGCACAGUGACUAGUAGCCAGACAGCUAAUUGAGCUUCUUGGUUUUCCCCGCAGCCUGCUUGGUGACUCCAUGCCGGGACCUCCUCCGGCCAAGCGUCGUUGGCAUCGCAGUGGUGACCUAUGUUGGGGACCGCCCCACAACGCCCCUAAACGAAGCUGGCACGGACCUCUUCCCAAUAUCAACGCUGACUUCGUCAUUAUACUCUUCUAUGAAGCUGACAAUUAACUGAAGUUAACUGGUCCGAAGAUGCCCGUUCUGUGAUUUUGCAGGCAAAGAUUCCCGAAGUUGGAGCCCUCACGGGGCUCCCGACAACUUGACUUCGGGGAGGUCCCACGACCAAAGCCCAAGGUUAGCUGCUUUCGACCAAUGAAGGUGGAGAGCGCGCGGAGGCGUACUUGGUGCGGACAAAGCUAACGAGUAGGGAAAGAAGGAAUCAGGAUAGUCCUGGGAUCAUAUUAUUGUGGGUCACUUUUGUAAUAAAGAUCUUGGAAAGGGUUAGAAAUGUAAUCUCUCUUUGAAAACGACAUCUUGAGUAGGGGUUAAUUUACAGUCCUGUACGGGAUAUGCCUGGGAUGUAAUUGUUGGGUAUGGGUAUAACGGGUAUACGGAAAUGUAACUUUAUGGCCCUAUAAAGGGAGGUGAACCGUCCCCCCUAAAACGGAUACUAUUCAUUGAUAGGACAGCCACAGUUACAUUCGCUUGAGAUAUCUUUACCUUCGUAUGCUACCUCAUCUUACCUACUGUUUGGUUAAGACCCAACAUUUGGCGUCCACCGUGGUCUAACUCGACAAGUAACCUAUGAUGCCACCACAACGGAAAAAGAGACUUACAGCACAGAGAGAAGUCAGCACAGUGGAGGCCGGUCUGCUUACAUCUCCCGAGGCCACAGAUUAGGUUCUUUCGGAUAAGGAGGAACGCCUUGCAAGAGUCGAGAAAACCUUAAGGGCAAAAGCAAUGAAUAAGAGACCCGUACCCGAGGUCAACCACCAAAGCCAACAACCCACAGCAAACAAAGCUACCAACUGCACUGACGGUCAACAGAGUCAGCAGCCCGCAAUGCCCAAAGCUACUGGCCCCUCUGACCUAGACAAUGAGCUAGACUCAGUCCUUCGGGAGAUAGAAGAGGUCAAAAGAAAAAAGGAACAGUUAGCACGACAGGUCCAACAACAGAGGGAAGCCUCGAGCAGACUAUCAAAAUUGAACGAAGCUAGACGGCAGCUAGAAGCAUUACAGAAAGAAAUUGCGGAGCUUGAAAGCCCACAUGAGAAUGCAAACCAAACCACAACUUAUUUUCACCAAAGUCCCACCGUUGAUCAGGCACAGUUCCAACCCAGUCUCAAAUUCGGCCAAGGCACCCAACAUCACUCACCAGGGGUGUCUCUCGUGGUCGACACCACAUCACCGCUCUCAAUUGGGCUCCAAACCGCACCGUGGCCAGCAACAUACAAGCCAACCGCCCUGCCCAAAUUCAAUGAACGGACUGAUCCACGACAAUUCUUAAUGAGUUACGAAGCCGCCGUAGCUUCAGCCAGGGGAGAUGACGUCAUCCUCACCAAGUCCUUCAUAAUUGCUUGCGAAGGCACAACACUCAACUGGUACUCACUACUCCCUCCGCGCACAGUGAUUAGCUGGCAUGACCUCAAGGCGAAGGUCACACAAAACUUUCAUAGUUUUCAUUACCACCACACGGCCCAAGCAGAUCUUUUCCAAUGCAAACAAAAAGACAAGGAGCCACUCGCAGAAUAUGUAAGAAGAUAUGUCUAGCUUCGUUCCCAAGCGCUGCACAUUGAGAAAUCCGUAGAAAUAUCCGCGUGCAUCGCGGGCCUCACCCCUGGCCCCACAGCGUCGAAGCUAUCAAGGAAAGAGCCUAAAAUGAUGAGUGCUCUUUUCAGCAAACUCGAUGAAUACAUCAAGUCCGACAAGGACCACCGCAGAAGAGUGGCGGAGCAUAACAAGGAAAGGCAAACAAACCAGAACCGAAGCAGGCAACCUUCACCUUACAACAAGCCUCAAAACCCUAGCCAGAACCGUGUCAUGAACAUUGAGGGAAACCAAAACCAAAGCCAGAGCCAAAGCCAAAACUACAAUACCCAAAGAGGGGGCCACUUUGGUAGAGGACGAGGUCGAGGAAGACAGCAAAAAUCAUUCUACUGCGUCAACCAUGGCCAUCAGAACCAUCAUAAUACAGAGUGGUGCCCCAAAAAGAAAGAAGAAGAGAGAAAGGCUACAGAAGAAGCCGUGAAAGCAGCCGCACAUGCACCCAAAACAAUCCACCACACAACUUUUUACCCGCACCCAAGCUUUUACUCCAACCAGCCUAGCUUCGCCAAUUCCUAGCAACCAAUGACCUGGCCUCUUCCGCCGCACAUACAACCGUACCACCAAACAAUCCCGCAACAUACCAACCCAAAUGUGCCUCAGAAGCCUCAAGAAACACUACCUCCUCCCCCAAGCAUACCAGCCAUAAUGCCCAAACCAGAGCCAAGCACGCAAAACAACAACCAAAAUUCAUUACCUACCUUUGACAUGAUAAUGCCAAUCACUGGAGGCACCUCUUUAGAGUUCGAGAACAAGAGGCAGAGGCGAAACUAUUUCAGAGAAGUCAAUGUAAUCAUACCCGAUGAACCCCCAACGAAGCCAGAAUGGGCACACAUGCCCAUAAGCUUCACAGGGGAAGACUUCAAGCUCAAGACAACCUCGCACAAUGAUGCGAUGGUCAUCAAAGCGCUGAUAGCAUGAUGGACAGUUGGAAAAGUCCUAGUUGACACGGGCAGCUCCGCGGACAUCCUCUUCGCAAACACCUUUAGAGAAAUGAACAUUGACAUGAACAUGCUCGACCCAGCCGACAUCCCACUUCUCGGCUUCGGUGGAAAGCCAGUGAAGGCCUUGGGAAAAAUUGCUCUCCCGGUCUCGUUUGGGGAUCGUGACAAUGCGAGAACAGAACACAUCACCUUCGACGUGGUGGAGAUGCACUACCCCUAUAAUGCAAUACUUGGCCGCGGUUUCAUCACCAAGAUGGAUGCAACAAUUAGGCAACUAUACCUAUGCAUGAAAAUACUCGCUCACAAGGGGGUCAUAACAGUGUACGGUGACUAGCAAAUGGCAAGAAGGACACCUAGCCCCAUCAAGCGAAGCCGAAAUGUCAGCAAAGCAAAAGACCCACGAUGAGCCCAAGAGGGACAAAGAAAAAAUAAAGAUCAGUGCUUACGGCGAAACAAAGCGGUUACUCCUAGAUGGGUACAUCGCAGACAGGUUCAUAACAAUUGGAGCCAACCUCGACCCCGAAGAAGAACGCAACCUCAUCGAGGGCCUCAACAAGAACAAAGACAUCUUCGCUUGGUCCGCAGGCGAUCUCAAAGGAGUGGACAGGGAAAUCAUCGAGCAUAGCCUCGACAUCAGGCAAGGAGCUAAGCCAAAGAAGCAAAAGCUAAGAAAAAUGUUCGACGAAAAGGUCCAAGCCGUAAAGGCCGAAGUUGACAGGCUCCUCGAGGCUAACGUAAUCAGGCCAAUCCAGUACCCUAAGUGGCUAGCUAACACAGUGCCUGUAAAAAAGAAAAAUGGCAAAUGGAGAAUGUGUAUAGACUUCACAGAUCUCAACAAGGCCUGCCCAAAAGAUGAUUACCCUCUCAAGAGGAUUGACAAAGUAGUGGAUGGCGCUGCAAACAGUGAAAUGCUCUCACUACUUGACCUCUUCUCGGGGUACCACCAGAUUAGAAUCAAGAAGGAGGACGAAGGCAAAACAAGCUUCGUGACACCUUUUGGAAUGUUCUGCUUCGUGCACAUGCCAGAGGGGCUAAAUAAUGCAGGCCAAACAUUCUCAAGGAUGACGGCAACAAUCCUGGACAACCAGCUUCGGCGUAACAUCCUGGCUUACGUAGACGAUAUGAUCGUCAAAAGCGUCAAGCGAAGCGAACACAUUCUGAAUCUCACAGAAACAUUUGCUAACCUGAGGUCAGCCAAUCUAAAGCUAAACCUAGAAAAGUGUGUAUUUGGCGUUCAAAGACAAAAGAUCCUAGGCUGCCUGGUAACAACAAAAGGUAUUGAAGCCAAUCUUGAUAAAAUCAAGGCACUGACUAACAUGUCGGAACCAACUUCGCUCAAACAAGUCCAACGACUCACGGGUUGGGUUGCUACGCUAAACCGUUUCAUUCCAAGAGCGGCAGAGCGAAGCCUCCCCUUCUUCAAAACACUCCGAAGCUCCGAAACACUUGAAUGGGGACCUGAGCAAAGCACAGCAUUCCAAGACCUCAAAGAGUAACUGCAAUCUAUCACGAAGCUAUGCCCGCCAAAGCCCAAAUCACCACUUCUAUUGUACAUCUCAGCCUCAGCAACAACCGUAAGCGCUGCGUUGAUUCAAGAAAAAGAAAUCGAAGGCAAAAUGAGGCAAAUACCAGUUUACUUCGCAUCCGAAGCCCUGAGCAGCUCAAAGCUACACUACUUUGAACUCGAGAAAAUCGCAUAUGCAGUCGUUAUGGCAGCACAGAAACUGCGACACUACUUCGAGGGGCACAAAAUAAUUGUUGUAACUAGCCAACCGCUUCAUGAUCUUUUCUCAAACAGGGAAGCUUCUAGCCGAAUCGCCAAAUGGGCAUCUGAACUCUCAGAGUUCGUUGUCGACUUCGAAAUGUGCACGGCUAUAAAAUCCCAAGUACUGGCUGAUUUCGUGGUCGAUUGGACCUCGCCAAAGCAAGAGCCAAAACAACUUGAAACACCAUGGGUCAUCCACUGCGAUGGGGCUUGGUGCCGCAAAGGGGUAGGGGUCACAGCAGUGGUCACAUCACCAACAGGUGUCAGAAUCUAGUAUGCAGCGAGGCUAGAUUUCCCACCAACCGUGAAGUCAACCAACAACACCACAGAGUACGAGGGAUUGCUGCUGGCCUUAAGGAAAAUGAAAGCCAUAGGGCAACAAACAUUCAUCGUCAGAACGGACUCAAAGGUAAUCCGUGAUCACAUCGAUAAACACAGCGAGGCCAAAGAACCAGAGCUCGUUAAAUACCUUGAGGCAGUUCGAGCCAUGGAGAAGCACUUUCGGGGGUUUGAUGUCAAAAAUAUACCAAGAGCACUAAAUGACGACAUUGACAAGCUUGCAAAAGUAGCAGCAGAGGGUGAGCUAAUCCCACCCGACACAUUCUACGAAGUCAUAACCUCACCUUCGAUCAAGGAAAAAGCUCCAGCCCCCGUCAACACCAUCCAACGUUAUGACUGGCGUGCGUGCAUAAUGGCUUUCCUUAGAUGUCAUUUCGAACCUCAGAACAAGGCCGAACGCACACGCCUAAAGCAAAGGGCAAGGGGCUAUGCAAUUAUCGAGGGACAGCUCUACAAAACAGGCAUUUCAACACCAUGGCUUCGCUGUGUCGAUUAUGAAACAGGCAGCGAACUGCUCAAAGAAAUACAUGGCGGUUUUUGCGGAACCCACAUUGGCUCAAGGGCUCUAGCAGGAAAAGCAAUCCGACAGGGAUUCUACUGGCCAUCAGUCCACACAGACGCACACUUGUUCGUAGGAAGCUAUGAGGCCUGCCAGAAGACAGCAAGGUAGACACAUGCACCCUCGCUCCCGAUCCAACUCAUCCCACCUUCGUGACCUCUCCAGAGAUGGGGCAUGGACCUAGUUGGUCCACCGCCAACAGCACAAGGAAAUUGCAGAUUUGCAGUAGUUGCAAUAGACUACUUCACCAAAUGGGCCGAAGCCAAACCACUGGCCGUCAUCACAUCGACUUCGGUACAAAAGUUCUUCUGGCAAAACAUUGUCUGCCGGUUUGGAGUCCCAAGGGAACUAACUGUUGACAAUGGCAAAAAGUUUGGCUGCGUCUCAUUCACAGAUUUCUACGCUAGCAUCGGCAUAAAGAUAAAAUUCUCAUCCGUAUAUGACCCGCAAUCAAACGGAGCUAUGGAAAGGGCGAACAGUACCAUAUUCACUGCAGUCAAAAAAUGUUUGUUCGAUCAAAAAAAGGGCAAAUGGGUCGAUGAACUCCCAAGAGUAAUAUGGUCCCAUAACACGACAUAAUCCAGGGCAACAGGCUUUACUCCGUUCAAGCUCUUAUUUGGAGCCGAAGCUGUAACACCUGAAGAAAUAAAAAACAAAAGCCUAAGAGUCCUUAAGCCCGGGGAUGUGGACGAAAUUGCCCGAAUAGAGAAAGACAUGAUCAAGCUCAACAUCAAUGAGGCCAUCGAAAACCUAGACAAGUAUCAGGAAGAAACCCGAAGAUGGAGGGACCAACACAUUCGAGAAAGACAGAUCAAUGUCGGUGACCUCAUUAUCAAGAGGAAAAAGAAUUGGGAAAAUCCAGGCAAGCUACAAGAGAUUUGGGAAGGCCCCUACAUUGUCACAAAAAGUGGCAAACCUGGCUCUUUCCACCUCGUAGACCAGCAGGGAAAUACUCUCCCACACACUUGGAACAUUGAUAGCUUACAAAAAUACUACCCAUGAUUGUACAUGCUACCUUCGGCUUGCGGAACUAUAAGCAACGCCGAAGGUAACAGAAUAGUUUUUCUUUCUUUUCUUUUCUUUACUUCCAAAUCUACCUCGUUUGUAAGGUCAUGAAAUCCGGACUGCACUCUUUUCCCUGCUAGGGGAUCCAUAAUGGAGGCAAGGUUUUUAACGAGGCAGAUCCAUGUACCCCCUUUUUUCACAAAGAAAGAAAGGAAACUUCCCCUAAAAAUCCAAAUUGCGUGACCUCGCACUAGUAUGCGGAGGGGAUUUUGCGUGUAAAAGGCAAUAAAAAGUUGCAUGACCUCGUGCUAGUAUGCGGAGGAGAUUUCAUGUGUAAAAGGCAACAACAAGUUGCAUGACCUUGCGCUAGUAUGCGGAGGAGAUUUCGCGUGUAAAAGGCAACAAUAAGUUGCGUGACCUCGCGCCACAGUGCGGAGGAGAUUUCGCGUGUAAAAGGCAACAACAAGUUGUGCGACCUCGCGCUAGUAUGCGGAGGAGAUUUCGCAUGUAAAAGGCAACAACAAGUUGCAUGACCUCGUGCUAGUAUGCGGAGGAGAUUUCGCGUGUAAAAGGCAACAACAAGUUGCAUGACCUCGCGCCACAGUGCGGAGGAGAUUUCGCAUGUAAAAGGCAACAACAAGUUGUGUGACCUCACGCCAGAGUGCGGAGGAGAUUUUGCGUGUAAAAGGCAACACCAAGUUGUGCGAACUCGUGCCAGAGCGCGGAGGAGUCUACAGUGCCAUUACAGAUCAAAGAUACUGAAACCUCCAACUGCGAGUCUGUGUUAUCUGACCUCUCUCUUGCAACAUCGCAAAGGGGGGUGACGUUUUUCGAAAAAACAUAAAAAAUUUCUGCGACUUUGCAAGAGAAGGAUCUGCGAGUCUAUGUUAUCUGACCUCUCUCUUGCAACAUCGCAAGGGGGGUGACGUUUUUCGAAAAAACUUGAAAAAUUUCUGCGACUUCGCAAGAGAAGGAUCCGCGAGUCUCUGUUAUCUGACCUCUCUCUUGCAACAUCGCAAGGGGGGUGACGUUUUUCAAAAAAACAUGAAAUUUUUUUGCAACUUUGCAAGAGAAGAGUUUGUAAGGUUUGUGUCGCUUGACCUCGUAAAGGCCCGAAUAACAUUCUCGAUCUCGCUCGGCAAAAGGUCAAAAAUGGCAGUGAACACAAUCAAAGAUGAUUCCUUCACGACCAUCGACCAAGCUGGGCAGAUGCAUUUCCAAAAGCAAUACACCAAACCGACCUCGCACGAAUACAGCAACAAAUACAACAAUAAAUACGACUAUGGUUGAAGCAACUUCAGGUCGCUGUAUCAACCGGCUCUCGCAUUUUCUAAGUUAGUGGGUUGCCUGACACGGCAACCCGACUUUGACUUAUCUAACCUCGCAACAGGUCCACUUCGCUAGAAACCUACACGUUUGGACGGGAUAAAGAACACAACAGUUACAAAAUUCGAAUACAUAACAAAAACUGGCACAUAAGUACUUUACAGGGCAUAGUUUCACAAACAAAUAAAGUAUCUGACUUCAUCAACUUUAUACACCAAAACCAACAAGUCAAAGCCUGCCCUUAGCAUGCACCAACCUACUCCGCAUCAUCCUUCUCGUCGUUACCAACACCAGACUGCAAGCGCAGCUGCGCUAACCGCUCACACGCAAGCCUCUUCACAUAACCCUACCCGAAGGUUGACCACAUGCGCUCAAACAAGUUCUUCUUUGCAUUCUCCACAUCAUUAGACUUGAUAGUGCAGCCAAUCUCCGAGGCAGUUGGCACAACAUAGUUAUCUUCGGAAAUAUUCCUAAUAUGCUCGCAUCCUUGUUGUUCCAGCAAGUGAAGGGCGCUUUCAAGACAGAACACUGCGGAGUAGUCGUUCAAGCCCUCAAGGACCUCGGGGAGACUCUUAACCUCGUCCAAAAGCCACUCGAACAUACGUUCGCAUCCCUCAUCCAACGGGCAAUCAUCAGGUUUAGCGCCAAACACACCAAGGGAGGCUUUGUAAGCUUCAUGAACUUUCUCGAACCUCUCCCUUAGUGUGGUCUCAAUUUGGCUCAACAGUUUUGCCUUCAUUUCCAACUGAGGCUCCAUCUGGCUCACCUUAGAUUUC